rnacentral:lncRNA from 1 species
CUUUCUACAUCUAUUUAUAAGAUUAACGGGUGCCAGUUAUGCCAUUACAAAUUAUCCCCUCAUCAGAUAUUUCGUUAAAAUUCAUUCUGAAACACUAAAACUAAAUAAUCGAACAUGGCUUUGCGGGUCGAUGAUGCCAGAAGCAAUUCGACUGCAAUUAUCACUUGUUUAGUUUCUGUGCUUGCCGUGGUUUACUUGGCAUGGAAUGUGAAAAAAUCAAGGAAAGCAAAUGCUAAACUGCCACCAGGACCUCCCGGCUUGCCUGUAGUCGGAUACCUCCCAUUUCUCGGAACUACUGACUUGCACAAGAAAUUCACGGAAUUAUCCGGAGUUUACGGUCCGAUCUUCAAGCUCUGGCUCGGAAAUAAAUUAUGUGUAGUGGUGAGCUCACCUUCCCUAAUUAGACAAGUGGUUCGUGAUCAAGAUACAACAUUCGCGAACCGUGACCCACCGAAGGCUGCACUAGUGGUCUCCUAUGGUGGCAAUGAUAUUGCAUGGUCCAAUUACGGUCCCGAAUGGAGAAAGUUGCGCAAAUUUUUUGUGGGCAAGAUGAUGAGUAACGCAAGCCUUGAUGCUUGUUAUGCUCUAAGAAAACAAGAGGUUAAAAAUACUAUCAGGGAUUUGUAUAACAACGACAACAAAAUUGGCAAGCCCAUUGACAUUGGUGAAUUGUCGUUUUCAACAUUGGUAUGUGCUAUACAGAACAUGCUGUGGGGUGAAGCGCUUGAAAUAAGAGAGAAAGGGACCACUAAUCUUGGGGCUGGGCUAAAAUUUAAGCUGGCAGAACUCAUGGUGCUUGCGGGAACACCGAAUAUUUCGGAUGUCUUUCCAAUGCUUUCAUGGCUUGACAUACAAGGUAUAGAGAGGAGAGCAAAGAAGAUUUCACUCUGGCUUGAAAAUGUUAUAAAUUCUACUGUUGAACAGCAUAGAAACAAGGAGUCAACUGUUGAAGGUGAAGAAAGAGCGGGGAAAAAUUUUGAAGGAUCAAGGAACAAGAACUUCUUGCAGUUACUAUUGGAGCUUCAAGAAAAUGAUGACAGUGCUUCCUCAAUUAGCAUGAACCAAUUCAAGGCCGUACUCAUGGUAUGUUAAGUAACUAGCAACGAACAGUUAUACAAGCACAGUUGUAUAUUUGCAUGAGUGAUAUUUUCAACCUUUUUUUUUAAUUAGAAUUUUAUUGUCACCUUUUGGACAGGAUAUAAUUACGGCUGGAACCGACACCACAGCUACGAUGGUGGAAUGGACAAUGGCAGAGUUGAUGCAGCAUCCACAAGUAAUGAAGAACGUUCAGGAAGAAUUAGCUCAAGUUGUGGGCAUGGACAGUUGUGUUGAAGAAUUUCACCUGUCUAGAUUAAAGUAUUUAGAUGCUGUGGUGAAGGAAACAUUUCGUCUGCAUCCUGCAGUGCCUUUAUUAGUACCACGCAGAGCAAGCGAGAGUGGCAGCAUUGGUGGCUAUACCAUUCCCAAAGAUACAACUCUUAUGUUGAAUGUUUGGGCUAUCCACAGGGACCCUCACCUUUGGGAUAAUCCCUUAGAAUUUCGACCCGAGAGGUUUCUGAAUGUUGGUGUCGAGAGUAAGUUCGAUUACUCAGGUAACAAUUUUCAGUACUUGCCAUUUGGUUCUGGUAGAAGAAUGUGUGCUGGGAUUCCUCUAGCUGAGAGGAUGCUGAUGUUUGUUUUGGCUUCGUUAUUGCACUCAUUUGAGUGGGAAUUGCCAGCUGGCACAAAGCUAAACUUAUCUGAAAAAUUUGGGAUUGUCAUUAAGAAAAAAGAGCCUUUGGUUGCUAUUCCAACACCAAGACUAUCCAAUUCAGAGCUCUACCAUUAAGACAAAAUGGUUGUGAUGAUUUUGUUAAUUUUCCGAAGAUUUGUAUGUUAUUUAGUUCAAUCGUAAUAAAAUAUUUCAAAUAAGAGUCCUCCGUUGCUUUUUUUUUUUUUUUUUUUUCAACGGCAUAAUCUGUCGUCAUGCUUGUAUUUGGAGCUACUUUGGAAUAAUUAUGUUUGAAUUACAAUUUAUAAAUAUUUACGUUUUAAAUUUUUUAUAAGAGUCUAAAUUUAUACACGUUUAAUAUCCCGCUUCAUAGAUAUUUAACACAAUUUAUAUCAUACAUUGUAUACCCAUUUGUCAUAAAUUAUACUAUUUUGUAUCUCUAAAUAAUAUUACGUAUUGAUAUUAUAAUAUAUAUAUAUAUGUUUAUCAAAAGACUAUACCAUUCAAUAUAUAUUGAAAAGAGAACAAAGAAGAUUUUCUUAUGGUUUAAAAAUAUUAUGAAUUCUGCUGUUGAACAGUAUGGAAACAAGGUCUCUGUUGUUAAAGGUGAAGAAGCAACAGGGAACAAUAUUGAAGGAAGAAAUUUCACAUGUUUAGUUGCUGAAUUUGCCGCUGUAUUCUAUCGGUAGUAGAGUUUUUAUUUUUCUCUAUUAAUUUAAGUCAAUUUUCUAUAACAAAUUCGGUUGAGUUUAAUUGUGUUAUAAUAUAAAUUGAAUGAUAAUAGAAUUUUCAACAAAUAUUUCAAUAUUUCUAUCUCGAUUGUUGAAGUGCCAUUUAUUUGUUAUGCGAUCGAUUUUAAAAUUUAUAAAAUUAUUUGUUACUAAAUUGCAUCAUAUGCUAAAAUCACCUGAAACCUAAUUCCAUAACUAACCCUUUAUUUUUAGUUCUCAAGAAAUCUUGUAAGAACAAAAAUCUUUUAUAACAAAACUUUUACAACACAUUAAUUUGUAACUCAUUCCUGUGCGCGAAUCACUCUCAAUUUCCUUCAAUUGCUGUUUAACAAUCAUCUACUUAUCAAAAUUCAAGCAUAAUCUUUUUUUUUUAAUUUCUUCAUCAUUCUUUAAAAAAAAAAUCAGGAUAUGCUGUUAAAUUUUGAAAUAAAUAAAUUAACCAAAGUUGGUUGAUGUGAGUGGUUCAAUGAUGAGCAUAAUUUAUAUACAUAUUUUACCUUUAAUUAUAUAAUUAUUAGUUAUUUUUAUUAGUUAUUUUUAAUUAAUUGAAUUAUUUUAUUGCAUAGAGAAUUAAUUGGAGAUUGGGAAACAAAAAGUGCAUAAAGAAUAACAAGUUUGGGAAAGCAUCAAUCAAAGCCGUGACGCAAUUAAGAGUUUAUAGCAUAUGAAGCCAAGAGUAAUUUGCACUCAAAAAGAAUUUCAAUUAUUCAAGUGACCUGGACCUGCAUGGCAUUGUAAUGCAUGGAAAGCAACUUAAAGGGGCCCACACUUGGCUUUUACAAUUGGAAAAAGGAAUCCUAGUGCAAGCUUAAUUGAUGAGCACGUGAGUGAGAGCAAAGAAAAUUAAAAGGCCAAGCCUUUUGGCUUAAGGAAAUAACAAGGUCGGUGGGGCCCAUUUUAAAGAGUAAUAUAAAAGCAAGCUUUUGGCUUUUGGAGAGAGGAGCCGCGAGAGGAGGAAAACGCAAGACAAAGAGAAGAAAAUCUGCAGCAGUUCGGCUUCUAUGGUUGGUUUUAUCUCUUUUGUUACUCUUAAUUCAAAUAUGUCUAGUUAAUUUUCUUAUAUUAAAGUUAAGGAUGAAACCCUAUUCAAUGAAAUAAUUAUCUUUUUAUUUAUUUAAUUCCCAUAUAUGUUCUUUAAUGAUUAUGAUUUUUAUUUCACAUGAUUAAUUGGAUGUUAUUAAAAUUUUUUCAUCAAUUCUGUCAUGCAUUAUUGAUUGUUAGGAUUAAUAUUCAAUUAAAUCUAUACUUAGAUUUAUAACGUUUAUACAUGAUUAUCUUUGAUUCUAUGUCUUUCAUUAAAUUGUUUACAUGGAGUGCUUAGGAAAACUUUGACUCUUUGUUAUUCAAUAUGUUCACAUGGGAUACUUAGAUGUCAUACUAUUAAGCGGAAAAAGAACCUAUAUUAGAUUUAAUUAUUUGGGCUUAAUUGUUAUAUCCAUGAGAUGACACAAAUUGAUUUCGAGUUGUCACUCUAAAAUUAGAGAUUAAUGAAUAUUUAGAUAAUUACUAGUUGAAUAGCGGUGGAUUCUGAAACCUUGGUAAUUUCUAUCUUAUUGAAUUCUCCUUUACUUUAAUUGUUUUCUUAGUUUAAUUAAUUUAAUUUCUUUUAAAACUCAAUUUGCUUAACUAGGUUAGAAUUAAUAUUAAUUUUAGAUUUAAAUUAGACUUUUCAAUUUAUAACAAUCCAUGUGGGAUCGACCUCGUUACCACUACUUUAUUUCUAGAUUCGUGCACUUGCGAGUAUAUUAAAAUUUUCACAACAAGUUUUUGGCGCCGUUGCCGGGGAUUGUGCCAGAAAGUCAGUUUAAUCUAGGUUGAUUUGAUUCUUCCACUAGUUAUAAUUUAUGUUGUCUUUUAUUUUAUUAUUAUUUUUAAUUAACAAAAACACACAAAAAAACUUUUAUUUUUCUUUAAAUUCAUUGUUUGGUUGUUUGAUUUCUUUUAUUUUUUAAAUUUUGUUUAUUCUCAUUAUUGUUGGUUUAUUUUAUUUUAUUUUUUUCUUUCCUUGUCUAGUUAGUUUAUGAGUGUUUGGGAAUGUGAUUCAACAAAUCGUUUGGUAAAAGAGAGUCAAAAAUUGAUAGUAGUCAAGUUAGUUCUUCUGAAGUCAUGGAUGACCCAAAUAGAUUAUUGCCAAUACUUCCACCAGUGCAAGCAGAGAAAACCCUUAGAGAAUAUUUUUCACCACUUGCAGCCAACCAACCAUCUUGUAUUGUGUUGCCACAAACUACAGCAACACACUUUGAACUUUUUGAACUUAAGCCCUCAGUCAUCCAACUUUUACCAUCUUUCCAUGGGUUAGAGAGAGAGGAUCCAUAUUUGCACAUUAAGGAAUUUCUUGACAUAUGCUCUACAUUCCGUUUUCAAAAUUUUAAUGAUGAGUUAAUCAGGCUUCGUAUGUUAUCUUUCUCAUUAAAAGACAAAGCAAAAGCUUGGUUGAAUUCGCUUUCUGCUGGGUCUAUAACUACGUGGGAUGAAUUGAAUAAUAAGUUCCUCACCAAGUUUUUCCCUAUGUCUAAAACAAAUGCCCUUAGGAGAGAGAUAAGUGAUUUCUAUUAAAGAGAGGGUGAGCAAUUUUAUGAGUGUUGGGAAAGAUUCAAUGAUUUACUCCUCAAGUGCCCCCACCAUGGUUUUGAGAAAUGGAGACUUAUACAAUGCUUUUAUAACGGUUUAACCAUGUCGAAUCGUCAUAUGGUAGAGUCUAUGAAUGGUGGGAGAUUUUUGAACCUACAUGAAGGGGCUGCAUGGGAUUUCUUUAAUUCACUUUCUGAGAAUUCUCAACAGUGAGAUUUUUCAAGCCAAAGGGAAAAAUCAUCUCAAGUUUCUAGAAAGGGGUUAUAUGAAGUUAAGGAUGAUUUUGAUGUGAAAUCCACUCUAAUUACACUUUCUAGAAAAGUAGAUGCCUUAGCUCUGAACCAAUCAAUGAAUCAUCAUCCUAGUGUAGCUAAUGAGGUUUGUGCUAUUUGUUCUAACUUGUCUCAAACAGCACAAAACUGUCCAUCAUUACCAGUCUAUCCAGAGGCUUAUUCUGAGCAGGUACAUGCCUUACAAUCAUAUGAGAAAACCUCCAAUAAUACAUAUUCACUCACAUAUAAUCCUAAUUGGAGGAAUCACCCUAAUUUUUCUUGGAAACAAAAUCAAUCUUUGUCAAACCAAGGAGGACAACAAUUUAACAUGCCCAAUCAACAAUUUGUCCCUCCUAACCAAGUAUAUCCUCCUGCCCAACAACCUAUAUCUCAAUUUGUUACACCCCAACAAAGAAAACCUUCUUUAGAGGAUACACUUCAAAGUUUCAUUCAGUCAACCUAAUAAGCUUUUCAGUCAAACACUCAAGCUAUUCUAAAGCUUGAACAUCAAUUGGGUCAAUUAGCAACUACUGUAGCGGAGAAAGAAAAAAGAAAAUUCCCCAGUCAAUCAAUUCCUAAUCCUAAAGGAGUGCAUGAAGUUGGAUCGAGUUCAAGCCAUCAGCAUGAAGAAGCAAAAUCAAUUAUGACCUUGAGAAGAGGAAAAUUGUUUGACAACAAAGUGGAGGUUCAAACAAAGAAGACAUCUGAGCCUACUUCUUCAGAUCCAAUUACAUCACAAGAAUCAUCACCAAAUGAUCUUGAAGAGAGUGACCCGCUAGCUUACAUUCCCAAGGCUCAUUUUCCUCAAAGGUUAACAAAGGUAAAGAAAGGGACUUCAACAUGUGAGAUUAUAGAAAUCUUCAAGCAGGUAAGUAUAAACAUCCAUUUACUCGAUGCUAUUAAGCAAGUUCCUUCCUAUGCCAAGUUUUUGAAAGAUUUAUGCACUAAAAAGAGAAAUUUGCAUGUCACUAAAAAGGCGUUUUUAACUGAACAAACUAGCAAUUUACUUCAAUGUAAAAUGCCACCAAAAUUUAAGGAUCCUGGUUCUCCUACUAUUUCAUGUGUUAUAGGGAACCAAUGUUUUGAUAAAGCAUUAUUGGAUUUAGGUGCUAGUGUUAAUCUCUUACCUUAUUCCAUUUACAUGCAGCUUGGACUAGGUGAGUUAAAAUCAACUCCUAUUAUUUUGCAACUUGCUGAUAGGUCAAUGAAAAUACCUCGUGGUAUUAUAGAGGAUGUGUUGAUACAGAUUGACAAAUUUUAUUAUCCUGUUGAUUUUAUUGUUAUUGAUACUCAACAUGUACAUGAUCUUAAGAAACACACUCCACUUAUUCUUGGUCGUCCUUUCUUAGCUACAGCUGAUGCUCAUAUUAGUUGCAGGACUUGAAACAUGCAAUUGUCUUUUGGUAACAUGACCAUGGAAUUAAAUAUUUUUAAUGUUCCCAAGCAGGCACAAGAAGAUGAUGAAGUCGUUGAAGUAGAUAUGAUAGAAGCAUCAAUUGAUGACUCACUUAUUUCUAACCAUUGUGACAAUCCAUUAAUACCUUGCACAACUGACUCUGAUUUCUCUAUUGAUGUUGAUAGUGAUAUUGAAGAAGUUAAUGCUUUACUUGAUUCGACUCUUAUCAUAGAUCUAAUUAAGUGGAAAGAAAAGAUAAGAUUGAGCCACUUCCUCCUGAAGAGAAAAGUGCAACAUAGGUCACAUUCUGACAUAAAAAAGGUGGUAAGAUCUAAAACGCUUAAAUUAUUAGAUUUUUAUACUACUUUAGAUAACUCUCAGGAAAGCUUAGAACAGAAGAGAUCAAAGCAAUGCGAUAUUGAGGAGUUUCAUUACCAUCAUCCUUUUAUGGAUAAAAUGCUCCAGUGCUUAAUCAAUUAUGCUUUUUGGUAUUUUCUAUAUAAUUGCUUUAAUUUUCACCAAAUUCUUAUUGAUCCUGGUUGAUUUGUUGUUUACAUUAAUUAGUUAGUUAGUCGGAUUUUUUUAUUAUUAUUUAUAUUUCUUCUAACGUUUUCUUUUGAGUUGUCAUUCUUUUAAGUUUUCCUAGCUCAGUCAGGUGUGUUCUCUCCAACUUUCUCUUUUAUUAUUUAUGUUUUUAUUUUUCAUCUUUUUGCGUGCAUAUCUUUUAUUUAUGACACAUUGAGGACAAUGUUCCGAAUAAGUUUGGGGGUGGGAAUAAUGUUGCUUUGUUUGUUAAAAAAAACUAAAAAAAAAUUUCAAAAAUUCAAAAAAAAAUUGUGUUUUUUUUGUUUUUACGUGAAAAGCCAAUGAUAAAAACUUGAUUGACAAUGAAUAUGGUUUUUAGAAAGGGUUUAAUAUUGUCUUAAUUUAUACUUGAUUCUUAUGUUAGUUCCUCUUGAUUGAGAUUCUUUAAAAUAUAAGCACUAAUAUCAAUUCUUUCAUAAUUUUGACUUGAAAUUUGAGAUUGACGCAGCCUGAGUUGAGAAUUUUAGAUAGAGUAAAUGACUGUUUGUCUUUAUUCUUAUCUCCACAAUACAAAAUAGUAUACACAGGCACCAAAGUCAGAAAUAACUACCUAUAAUCCUUAAGAGUGAAGCUAUCCUUGAGUAAUUUAGGCCUAUGUACCACAAGUAUGUAGAGGAUAAUCUACCAUGAGAAGAAUGCUACCUUAAGGGGUAGAGUGAAAGCUCCUGACUAUGGUUAAAAAAAAAAGAAGAAGAAAAAGAGAAAGAAAAAAUCAAAUCAAGUGCAUGUGCUGAAAAAAAAAUCAAAAGAAAAUGCACAUAAAAGCCUGUGAAAAAAAAAUUGGAGAUUAAGAUGAUAAGAUUAGCUUGACCUACUCUUUUCUUUUUUUGAGGCGAAGGUUGUUGAUAUUGAAGAUUUUAGGAAUGAAUUUGAUUGAAUUGAUUUCACACACACACAACAAGAAUCGAAAGAGAGAUGGGAUUGAUUAUUGAAUUAAAGUUAGAACUUUGCCAAUAUUUGAAAUUUUGUUUGAGCUAUAUAAUUUAUGCAAUCUUUGAGGGUAUUUUCAUAUUUUAUUUAAAGUUUUUUUUUCUUUUUAUUUUAUUUUAUUUAUUUUUUAUUUUUUUAAAAUGAUGUUUGUGGGUGUCAUCACUGAAGCUCUCACGAGACUAUAACUCGUCCACUAGGGGUUUAAAGGCUUGUUGCAUACGCUAAAUGCAAUCGCGAUUACCUGCGAAAAUGGUUUAGUUAGGAUUUACUUUUUGUUUUGUUAUUUUUUUUUUUUUUUUUAGUUUUAGCUUUGCUCGAGGACUAGCAAAAUCUAAGUUUGGGGGUAUUUGAUGAGCAUAAUUUAUAUACAUAUUUUACCUUUAAUUAUAUAAUUAUUAGUUAUCUUUAUUAGUUAUUUUUAAUUAAUUGAAUUAUUUUAUUGCAUAGGGAAUUAAUUGGAGAUUGGGAAACAAAAAGUGCAUAAAGAAUAACAAGUUUGGGAAAGCAUCAAUCAAAGCCAUGACACAAUUAAGAGUUUAUAGCAUAUGAAGGCAAGAGUAAUUUGCACUAAAAAAGAAUUUCAAUUAUUCAAGUGAUCUGGACGUGCAUAGUAUUGUAAUGCAUGGAAAGCAACUUAAAGGGGCCCACACUUGGCUUUUACAAUUGGAAAAAGGAAUCCUAGUGCAAGCUUAAUUGGUGAGCACGUGAGUGAGAGCAAAGAAAAUUAAAAGGCCAAGCCUUUUGGCUUAAGGAAAUAACAAGGUCGGUGGGGCCCAUUUUAAAGAGUAAUAUAAAAGCAAGCUUUUGGCUUUUGGAGAGAGAAGCCGCCAGAGGAGGAAAACGCGAGACAAAGAGAAGAAAAUAUGCCGCAGUUCGACUUCUAUGGUUGGUUUUAUCUCUUUUGUUACUCUUAAUUCAAGUAUGUCUAGCUAAUUUUCUUAUAUUGAAGUUAAGGAUGAAAUCAUAUUCAAUGAAAUAAUUAUCUUUUUAUUUAUUUAAUUCCCAUAUAUGUUCUUUAAUGAUUAUGAUUUUUAUUUCACAUGAUUAAUUGGAUGUUAUUAAAAUCUUUUCAUCAAUUCUGUCAUAUAUUAUUGAUUGUUAUGAUUAAUAUUAAAUUAAAUCUAUACUUGGAUUUAUAAAGUUUAUACAUGAUUAUCUUUGAUUCUAUGUCUUUCAUUAAAUUGUUUACAUGGAGUGCCUAGGAAAACUUUGACUCUUUGUUAUUCAAUAUGUUCACAUGGGAUACUUAGAUGUCGUACUAUUAAGCGGAAAAAGAACCUAUAUUAGAUUUAAUUAUUUGGGCUUAAUUGUUAUAUCCAUGAGAUGACAUAGAUUGAUUUCGAGUUGUCACUCUAAAAUUGGGGAUUAAUGAAUAUUUAGAUAAUUACUAGUUGAAUAGUGGUGGAUUCUGAAACCUUGGUAAUUUCUAUCUUAUUGAAUUCUCCUUUACUUUAAUUGUUUUCUUAGUUUAAUUAGUUUAAUUUCUCUUAAAACUCAAUUCGCUCAACUAGGUUAGAAUUAAUAUUAAUUUUAGAUUUAAAUUAGACUUUUCAAUUUAUAACAAUCCCUGUGGGAUCGACCUCGUUACCACUACUCUAUUUCUAGAUUCGUGCGCUUGCGAGUAUAUUAAAAUUUUCACAACAUUCGGCACUCUCACUCCUUAAGAGAGGUCAGGGGUUCAAGCCUCGCUCUCGUAUGGAGUCACCACUUUGACCAGCACUUUACCCCUUACAGACCGACCCGGUGCGAGCAUGAAUUAGUCUGGGUUGUGGUACGGGCUUAAAGGUGCCUCCCACAAUUGAGACCCACUCAGGACCACCUCGUGGUUCGGACAAAAAAAAAAUUGAAAUAAAUUAUCUCAAAAUAAUUACUAACCAGAAAAAACAAAGGGGUUUAACUAGGUUAUGCAUACCUUUGAAAAUUAUAUGUUGAUCGAUAAGCAUGAUGAUCACGAUUGAGGAGUUUAAUUAAAAUUUAUAAGAUUUUAAAAUUAAUCAGGGUUAAAUUCUAAAUUUUAGAAAGAGAGGUUUUGUGAGAAUGCUGAAAGGGUGUUAAUAGUUCCACUCUUUUUUAAAAAAACCAUAGUCAUCAUUUUUCCCGAUUUCUUCUUCCCAUCUCCAUCUUAUUUAGAAAUUUCCCAGAGCCUUUGUUUCCCACCAUUCAUUUUUCUUCUUUCUAAUUUAAGAUUAUAGUAUUAUAAAAAUAAUUACUCACAUUUUAUCAAACACCUCCAUUAUACCAAGGCCUUGUUUUAGUAGUAGGCUUUUAUUAUCUCAAUAAAAUUGAAAAAACAAAGCUCAAUAAUAUUGGAAAAAAAACCUACCCAUAUUUGUAACUUUAAUUUAUUAUUCUCCAUAGACCUACUUUUUAGCUUUGAAUUUUGUUGGAGCCAUAUAUAAACAGAAUAUGUUGAAAUCAGCACAAAAAAAAAACUAAUUAUAUAAUUUUUGUUCCCAAGGACACGACUGUGUGAUUUUUAAGAAGUUUUGUUUGGCUGGCCACUUAGGUUUAAAUCUUGGUGGAGAUUAGGGGUUAAGAAAUAAAUUUGGACUUUGCACACCCCUUUAACUUUUAAAAAGAAUGAAAAAAACUAAUUAAUUAAUCUUUAUUUUAUUUAUUAAAUGUCAUAAUCAUAUGCAUAUUUUAUUUGUUAUCUUUCUAUUUAAAAGAUAGGAGGGCAAAUAAAACUGAAAUAAAUGUUUAUCCCUAUCUCCAUCUUUCAAGUUCCAUAGUUAGGUGACCAGCUAAAGAAAAUUAAUUGAAAGUUACUCCAUCAAAUUAAAAAAAAUUAUUUAUUUAAUUUGUGGAGAUGUAGAAAAUCAAACCCCAUACCUUUUCGCAUGCAAAAGUGUCAACCUGGUCUAGCUAUGUUGCAACAGUAAACAUAUUUUAAUACAUGACUAUCAUCUUUUAUCCUAAAUACUACUAUAACUAUGGGUUCAGUUAUGCUGUAACUGUGGUAUGGUACCACAGUUGUUUUCAACCAUUAAAUUCAACUUAUAUAACUAUGCAACUGUAGAUCUAACGGCUGAAAGCAACUAUGGUACCAUACCACAGUUGCAACAUAGUUUUGCCCCUAUAACUCAUAACAUUCAAUUGAAAUAAUAAAUGUUAACACUUGGCUAUAAAUAAAGGUUUUGUACUUGAAUCUUCAUGCAUGACCUUCAUUCCUUUAUUGACUUUGCUAACACAGAUUUUGAGGCAUUAAAACUAAAUAAUAAUUGACUUUGUGGGCCGAGGAUGCCAGCAACAAGGAGACCACAAUUAUCACUAGUUAAGUUACUCUAAUUGCCGUUGUCUUAUAUUCAUAAAAUAUUAGUAAUAAGAUUAUUGUAGAAUUUUUUUAUAUUAAAAUUAAGUCAAUUUGUUAUAACAAAUUUAGUUGAGUUUAAUCGUGUUACUACAUACAUUGAAUAAUAAUAGAAUUCUCGACAAAUAUUUCAAUAUUUUUAUCCCAAGCGUUGGAGUGGCAUUUAUUUGUUAGACAAUCGAUUUUAGAACUUAUAAAAUUAUUCGUUACUGAAUUGCACCAUAUGCUGCAUGACCUGAAACUUAAUAAACGGAACGUAGCGUUGGCAACAUUCACUGUCAUGACUUUGUGACAUUAGAAUUAAAUUUUUUUGCACAUUUAAUUUGUUUACUUCCAAAUUAAUAUUUAACAAAAUAUUUUUUCACAUUAUCAAUGGACAAAACUCCAACGAAAAUAACUAUACAAUAUAUGCUAGUAUUGUAUGCCAUAUCAUCUGUAAUUUUGUCAGGAUCGAUCAUUUUAAUUUUUAAGCAAAACUUUUUAUCAAUGGACAAACACCUCACACAGCUUGUCAGAGGCAUUAUUAUGAUGGAAAACUGAUAAACAGUGAACUCGAAACUCAAUUACUACAAGUCGUUUAGAGGAUUCAGUCUUGGAUGACUUGUCACUUGUGGAAUUCUUGAAGCCAGAACCGACAUAAUCUCAGUCGUCAUUCUGUCUUAAGUAAUACACAUGGUUUGCAUGUGUGUUGAAGCUGACUCUUUGCUUGGAUCAAGAAACGACGUCUUUGAGUGCCGUUUCUUAAACACACUUUAAAUCAGCUUGUGUCAAGCACGUGAGGUAGAGCUUUUUGAAUAGAUUUGGCGGGAAUGGUAGUUAGUGUAACAACCCAGAAAUAGAGGUUAAAAGGUGAAGGCUUUGUCAUCAUCUACACAUGAUUUGGGAAACAUUGAGAGUAGAGAAAAAGAUAGAGAGAGAAAGGGGUUAACAAGUUCUUGUUCUCUGUAAAUCGAUUUAUAUUCUUGUAAAGUUUGUGAUCUCAAUUAGUGAAAGACUGUUGCUUUGUUUCCAGUGGAUGUAGGCACCACUUCUUGGUGCUGAACCACUUAUACUUGGUGUCAUAUUGUUUCUUUAAUGCUUUGAUUCUUGCGUGUGAUUGUUGCUGGAUAAUCUGUGCUGUUAAUUCUCAAACCAUUGAUACAGAAUUAAUGUCUUGGGGAGAAUUUGGUUAGUCUUAUCAAAGCCGAAUUCACAACAAAUUGGUAUCAGAGCCCUCUUUUCUGUAUCAAGGUUCAAGAAAUGACUAACAAGGUGGAUCUUGAGAAGUUCAAUGGUCAGAAUGAUUUCAAUAUGUGGAGGAUCAAGAUGGAAGCAUUGUUAAUCACACAAGGUCUGGGAGAUGCCAUUGAUCCAGUCAUUAAGAGUGAAAAUGCAGAAGCCUAUUCUUCAAGAACUCCAGAACAGAUGGCUAAGAUUGAAAAAAAGGCAAGAAGCACCAUCAUCCUCAGUCUUGGUGACUUAGUGAUAAGGGAAGUUGCCAAGAAAAAGACUGUUGCUAGGCUCUGGGCAAAACUGGAACAAUUGUAUAUGACAAAGUCCUUAGCAAACAGGCUAUACAUCAAGAAAAAGAUGUUCUCACUGAGGAUGAUUGAAGGAGCAUCACUUGAUGAACACAUAGAUGAGUUUAAUAAAGUUUGUGAUGAACUGGAAACAAUUGAUGAAGGACUGAGUGAUGAGAGCAAGGCUUUGCUGUUAAUCAGUUCUUCACCAAAAUCAUAUGAACAUUUUGUGGAUGCCUUGUUAUAUGGAAGGCAAUCACUCUCCUUGGAAGAGGUUAAAUCUACUCUUGGUACCAAGAAGUUAAAAGAAAAACAAGAUAACUCAGAGAGUGAAUCAAGUGAAGGGCUGAUGGCAAGGGGCAGAUCUGAAAAAAAGGAGUACAAAGGAAAAAAACAAGGGAGAUCAAAGUCAAAGCAGAAACAUUUGAAGUGUUUUCACUGCCACAAAGAAGGGCAUUUCAAGAGGGAUUGCCCUGAGAGAAAAACAAAGCAAAAGGAAUCAAAAGACAAAUCUGGAAAUACAGCAAUAGCCACAGAAGAAACCAGUUUUGAGAUAGCUGAAGUCCUCAUUGCCACAAAAGAAAAAAACUCAAGGUCAGUGGGUACUAGACUCUGGAUGUACUUUUCAUAUGAGUCCAAAUAGAAAUUACUUUACUACAUAUCAGUCCUGUGAUGGGGGUAUGGUGCUGAUGGGAAAUAAUUCAGUUUGUAAAGCAGUUGGGAUUGGGACUGUAAGCCUUAAGAUGUAUGAUGGCAUGGUUAGAGAACUAACUCAGUUUAGGCAUGUUCCUGAGCUUAAAAGGAACCUAAUAUCUAUUGGCAUGCUUGAUCAAACUGGAUGUGUCAAUAAGGCUGAAAAUGGGUCAUUGAAAGUUAUCAGAGGCUCAAUAGUCAUAAUGAAAAGUUCCAAGCAAAAUGGUUUGUAUGUGUUGAAUGGACAUACAACUGUUGGAGAGGCAAGUGUCACUGAGAAGAGUGAAGACAAAGCAAGACUAUGGCACUUGAGGUUGGGGCAUAUGAGUGAAAGGGGAUUGAAGGAGCUUCAAAAGAAUGGGGUGUUUGGAAGUGACAAGCUAAGUUCUUUGGGGUUCUGUGAAGACUGUAUCCUAGGGAAGGCUUCCAAUCUCAAGUUUGAAUCUGCAGUUCAUUCUACCAAAGAGAAGCUUGCAUAUAUACACUCUGAUAUGUGGGGGCCUGCACAGGUAAAUUCUCUUGGUGGCUUUAAGUAUUUCUUAUCCUUAAUAGAUGACUAUUCAAGGAUGGUUUGGGUGUAUGUACUCAAAACCAAAGAUGAAGCUUUGGAAAAGUUUUAGAGGUGGAAAAUUCUGGUAGAAACACAGACAAGUUUGAAAGUAAAAGCUCUAAGAACAGAUAAUGAAUUGGAAUUCUGCAACAAAGAGUUUGGAGACUUUUGUAAAAGACAUGAGAUUAUGAGGCACAAAACAGUCAUACACACACCUCAGCAAAAUGGUUUUGCUGAGAGAAUGAACAGAACCUUAAUGGACAAGGUGAGGUGUAUACUGCUAUACUCAAAGCUGCCUAAGUCACUCUGGGCAGAGGCCUUAAACACAGCAUGUUACUUGGUAAAUAUAAGUCCAUCUACAGCAAUAGAAUGCAAAACACCUAUCGAGCUAUGGUCUGGAAGGGUUGCAGAUUACUUUAAACUGAGAAUCUUUGGAUGUGUUGCUUAUGCAUAUGUCAAACAAGGCAAAUUGGAGCCAAGAGCUUUAAGGUGUAGAUUUCUAGGAUACCCUGAUGGAGUUAAAGGCUAUAGGCUAUGGUGCAUUGAUUUGAAGCCACCAAAAUGCAUUAUCAGCAGGGAUGUAACUUUCAAUGAGUCAGAAAUCUUGAACAAAUCCAAAACCACUUAAUCCAAAGAUCAUAUAUCAGAAACAAGACCUGGGAGUGUUCAGUUUGAGGUGGAGUCCUAUGAACAAGAUAGGACUGAAUCAGAAACUGAAGGAGAUUCAGGAAGGGUUACUGAUGGAUUUGAUGUUGUUCAGGAGUCAGAGCCAGCUGAGAAUGAAGAUAAUUCUUAUCAGUUGGUCAGGGAUAGAAAGAAGAGAGCUGUAAGACCACCUAAGAGGUAUACAAUAGCAGAUUUCAUAGCUUAUACAUUAACAGUUGCACAAGAGGUAAAUGAGGAAGAGCUAAGAACCUAUAAAGAAGCUAUAAACAGCAUGGAUAAGAUGAAAUGGAAGGAGGCUAUGGAUGAGGAAAUUGAAUCACUAAUGAAAAAUGGAACUUGGAAGCUGAUAGUUAGACUAGAAAAAAGGAAGACUGUUAGCUGCAAAUGGAUCUUCAAAGUUAAGGAAGGUAUAUCUGAUGCUGAACCUAGUAGGUUUAAAGCUAGGCUGGUAGCAAGAGGCUUCACACAAAGAGAGGGGAUUGAUUUCCAUGAAAUCUUCUCUCUAGUUGUGAAACAUGCCUCCAUCAGAGUCAUCUUAGCUUUAGUUGCCAUUCAAGACAUGUACCUGGAGCAUAUGGAUGUUAAAACAGCCUUCCUGCAUGGUGAAUUACAAGAAGAAAUUGUAAUGGAACAGCCUGGGGGGUAUGUGGUGUCUAGUAAGGAAAAUCAUGUGUGCUUACUAAAGAAAUAUUUAUAUGGAUUAAAGCAGUCUCCUAGGCAAUGGUACUUGAAGUUUGAUAGUUUUAUGACAAAACAUGCCUACAAGAAAUGCAAUUAUGAUUGUUGCGUGUACUUUAGGGACAUUGGUGAUGGAAAGAUGAUUUAUCUUAUGCUGUAUAUGGAUGACAUGCUUAUAGCAUGUCACAGCAUAGAUGAAAUCAGUCAUUUAAAGAAUCUCUUGAGCAGUGAAUUCGAUAUGAAAGAUCUUGGAGCUGUAAGGAAGAUCUUAGGUAUGGAAAUUAUCAGAGACAGGAGAAGGAAGCUUAUGUUUUUAACCCAACAGAGCUAUGUUAAGAAGGUGUUGCUUAGAUUUGGGAUGCAUGAAUCCAAGUCUGUUCAAACACCUUUGGCAAAUCACUUCAAGCUGUCUGCUGCACAUUGUCCACAAACUGAUGCAGAGCAAGGAAAAAUGGCAAGGAUACCUUACUCCAGUGCAGUUGGGAGCCUCAUGUAUGCCAUGGUUCUCACUAGACAUGAUAUCUCACAUGCUGUGAGUAUAGUGAGUAGAUUCAUGGCAAAUCCAGGUUAUGAGCAUUGGAGGGCAGUCCAGUGGAUAAUGAGGUACCUGAAAGGCACUAUGGAGUUUGGUCUGCUAUAUGGAGGGUUAAAACAGGAAGGGCACAAGCUGGUGGGGUAUGUUGACUCAGACUUCGCUGGAGAUCUUGAUAAAAGGAGGUCUCAGACAUGUUUUAUAUUCACUUUGGGAGGCUGCACUGUGAACUGGAAAGCUACUCUGCAAAGUGUGGUAGCUUUGUCCACAACUGAAGCCGAAUAUACAGCAGCUGCAGAAGCUUUUAAGGAAGUCAUCUGGUUAAAAGGAAUGGUCUCAGAGUUAGGAGCAAAACAAGAAACAGUUGAAGUAUACUGUGAUAGCCAGAGUGCAAUACAUUUGAGUAAAAACCAGACCCAUCAUGAAGGAACAAAACAUAUUGAUGUAAAGCUUCAUUUUGUAAGACUUGAAGUUUCAAAGGGAACUGUGAAGAUGCUCGAGGUUCACACUGAUCAAAAUCCAACCGAUAUGUUGACUAAAGCUGUGCCUUCUGCCAAGCUCAACUUCUGUUUGAGCUUAGCAGGAAUUUGCAGUUUCUGAUCAGCUGCAAAAGAAAGGGAAUAAAGUAUACAGGAGUAGCUAGAGUUCAGAGUUCACACUGAUUAAAAGGUGCAGGCUUUGUCAUCGUCUACACAUGAUUUGGGAAACACAGAGAGUAGAGAAAAAGAUAGAGAGAGAAAGGGGUUAACAAGUUCUUGUUCUCUGUAAAUCGAUUUCUAUUCUUGUAAAGUUUGUGAUCUCAAUUAGUGAAAGAUUGUUGCUUUGUUUCCAGUGGAUGUAGGCACCACUUCUUGGUGCUGAACCACUUAUGCUUGGUGUCAUAUUGUUUCUUUAAUGCUUUGAUUCUUGCGUGUGAUUGUUGCUGGAUAAUCUGUGCUGUUAAUUCUCAAACCAUUGAUACAGAAUUAAUGUCUUGGGGAGAAUUUGGUUAGUCUUAUCAAAGCCGAAUUCACAACAAAAACUGUAAUGGUAUAUCUUGAAUUAUUGGUAGAAUAGUUCUUUGGAGCAAUAAAAACAGAUAAGACAGAUGAGAAAAUUGUCAAUACCCCACCGCAAAAGCAAAAGAAAACAAGGAAAGGAGACAAAAGAGGAAGAAGAAAAAGAAAAAAGAACGAAGAAAAAAAUGGUGCCGUGCGGUAUAGGCAAGAAGAAAAAAUAAUAAAAAAUAAUAAAAUAAUAGUGCACAACAAUCAUUUGAUUGCUAUAAAUAAAAGGCGUUUCCCUCAUUUUAUUCAUCGAAUUCUUCAGUUCCUUUCAAGCGAUUUAAGAGUCUAGUGAUUUGAGAGUUUGGGUGUAGUAUGAUUUUGGGUAGUGAGCUAAAAUACUACAAUACUUGUAACUCAUUUUUAUUAGUAAAAUAUUUUCCUUCUGACUUCGCCCGUGGACGUAUGCUAAAAGCCGAAUCACGUAAUUUCUGGUGUCCCUAUGUGAUUAUGUGUCUCAUUAUUUCUUAAUUUCACUUUAGUUGCGUGUCUGCGACACCCCUCAAUUUAUUAACAAAAAAUGGCCAAAAUUAUAUAAGUGACCCAAAUUUUUUUGUUAUUUCCAAGAAAUCCCCAAUCUGAAUGGGCUAGACCAGAGGGAGGCAAGUUAGAAAUACAUUUCCUUCAUAGACAAUAACAGUGAUGAGUCGAUGACAUCAAGCCACGUCGGUAUCAAUAUUGAAUUAAAGGUGCAAUUAUUCAGCCAAUGAACCUUACACAUCAAGAUAAAAGUCAAGAAAAUGAAAAUUUAUCCCAAUUAAAACACUUUCUGGCUGCAUUUAGUUGUUUCCAUUAGAAGUUAAAAACAACGUUUCUUUCGUUUUGUGGGCAACUCAACUGAGUUAGCUGGCUUCUAGUGCUAGUAUGUGAAAAUAGAAGGCUAAUGAUUUAUUUAUUAUCUUUUGACAAAAUUAUUAAAGAUAUAAUAGAUUUUCUAUGAUACAAGUGAAAAAUCACAUCAACAUAGCUUUCAAUCUACAGCAGCUAGCGUUUACCAAACACUUUGUUGUAGCUUUUAAGCUAUAGCUGCCCAACCUCAAUCUCAAACGCACCCUUAAUAGGUUGAUUGAAUUUGUGAGAUAUGGAUUCCACAUAUCUCAUGACCUAGUAAUUAUACAAGUGGUUCGUGAUCAAGACACAACAUUUGCUUCCGGCCUAGUGACCCAGCAAUCGCUGCACUGGUCGCCACCUAUGGUGCCGACGAUAUUGCAUGGUCCAAUUGUGGCCUUGAAUGGAAAAAGUUGAGCAAAUUAUUUGUGGACACGAUGAUAAGUAACGCAAGCCUUGAUGCUAGUUAUGGUCAAAGAAAACAAGAGGUUAAGAAUACUAUCAGAGAUAUUCAUAACAACAAAAAGGAAAAAAAAAAGGCAUUUGCAAGCCCAUUGAUAUUGGUGAAUUGUCGAUUUCAACUUUGGCAUGUGUAAUCCAGAACCUGCGCGCUGUGGUAUGGCGCUGGCACGCUUGCAUUAACGAGGGGACAAGUCUUGGGGCUGAGCUAACAUUUAAGCUCGCAGAACUCAUGGUGCUAAUGGGAACACCAAAUAUUUUUUUGACAUAUUUUGGUGCUUUCAUGGUUUAAUUCAAGGUAUAGAAAGGAGUGUUGAGAAUGUCAAAUAAAACGGCAUUGAAUGGAAGUUGUCAAAGACACGAUCCGCACCGAACGGCAACGACACGGUUGCUAAAAAUCCUUCCAUAAUAUGCAUAUCUAAUUUUUUAAAAAGUGUAACCUCUGCAUUUAUAAAUAUACUCAAUGUAUAAUGUUUUACUUAAGAAAUGAAAAACUUGUUUGUUCAAGGAGAAUAAAGAAAAUUUUUCUAUGAUUUUUUUAUGGUUUGAACAAAGAAGGUUUUAAUGAGUAUUAUAGACCUCGAUUGAAUGUUCGAAUGUAUAAUAAAAGAGAAACUGUCACAUAAAUGACAAAGAUACUUGGAAAAAAAAAAAGGGCAGCAAUAGAGAAUUAGAUUCGACUGCACAAAUAACUAGUUAAUUCAUCAAUACAUCAUUUUCUUGCUAGAAAAUGACAAUUAUGACAGCAAGCCACGAUAGUGUCAAUAUUGAAAUUGAUUUGCAAUUAUUCAGCCAAUGUGCCUUACACGUCAAGAUAAAAGUCAAGAAAAUGAAAGUUAAUAUCAAUUAAAACACUUCCUGGGCCGCAUUUAGCUCCAGUUUUUGUGGUAGGAAAACAAAGUUUUGUUUUAAAUUCACAUGGUGUGCACUUCCUAUAUAAAUCUAGAGUUGUGUCCCACGUUGAACAAUAAAGGAAAGUCACCUAAAUAUACAUGUAGGAUAAGUUACUUUAUUUAGUAAGUUUGUAUUUUCUUCUUUCUUCUAGUUUACAUAUAAAUUUGAUUAGAUAACUUAACACAUAUUUUAAUACUUGAUCAGAAGCCCUACGUACAGGUGGAUCUAGAAACUUGAUUUCUAAGAGUAAUACUAUAAUAAAAAAAUAAUGAUUCAUAGAACCAAUAUCAAAAUUUGUUUACAAGAUUACCCCCACUCAAAGGUAAUUUUCAUAGAAAUUAAUAGGAAAUUUAAUUGUUAGUGGGGUCAAAUUGCCCCCACACUCUGAAUGUAGAUCCACGCCCGACCCUGAGUCAAGUAUAUUUUGCCACAUAUACUCUGAAUGUCGGCAGGAAAAAUCUUCCACUUUAGUUUAAAAUUUUCACUUAAAAUUUAUUUACGUUAAUAAAGUUGGUAAAGGAAAUGAGUUUAAUUAAAGAAUAUUAUAGGAGAAAUUCUAUUGUUUGGCUUUUAAUAAAUUAAUUAAUAGGUUUAAAAAGAUUAAUAUACAUCAAAAUAUUAUUAGUUGGUGGUGGUUCCACAUCGGACUAAGACGUGGCACCUUACUUGUGAGAUUAAGACAAUCAGGCUUAGACUAUUUAAAUAUGUUUGAAGCUUAGAUGGCACCGCUUCAAUUUGCAUUAAUGAAUGUCAUUCUUUACCCUAAUUACUACGUAAUUGAUAACAUGCAAUUGAAAUAACUAAUAUUAGCACUUGGCUAUAAAUGAACUAAAGGCCGUGCAAUUGAAUCUUUACUUGAUCACUUCAUUCCUUUAUUUUGCUAACACAGAUUUUGAGAUAUUAAAACGAAAUAAUAAUUGAAUCUGGCUUUGUGGGUCGAUGAUGCCAGCAACAACGAGACCACAAUUAUCACUUGUUUAUUUGCUGUAUUUGACGUUGUUUCAUAUUGGUAGUAAUAACUAAUAAGGUCGUUGUAGAGUUUUUAAUCUUUUUUUUUAUAUUAAUCACGAGGUAUCCUGGGGAGGGCCCCAACUGUGGGAGGCACCUUUAAGCUCGUACCACAACCCAGACUAGAAGUCCCCGCUCGAACCGGGAGGCACAGUUUUUAAUCUUUUUUAUAUUAAAGUUAAGUCAAUUUGUUAUAAAUAAAUAAAAAAUUGGUUGAGUUUAAUUAUAUUGCUAUGUACAUUAAAUAAUUAUAAUAUUCUCGAGGGAAAAAGACACCUAGAACCUCAAGGUUUGGGGAAAUGGUCACAAAAACUCCUAAGUUUUAAAAAAGGAACACUAAAAUCUUUUUUUACCCAUAAUACCCUUUGACUAUAGUAAUUAGAAAAUUGACUUUAAAGGUUUUUAAAUAAUACAAAUUUAAUAUAAAUCAUAUAAUCUAUCUAGUACACUAAUAAUAUUAAAUUAUUUUUUAUAUUUAAAAUAAUGUUAAAAAAUUUAAAUUAUUAUAUUUAUUUUAAUAAUAUAUUUAUAAAAUUAUAAAGAUUUUAAAUAAAUCUUUGGAUUGAAUAUAUUUUACAAUUAAAAGUCUUCCUAUUAAUAAUAUUAAAAUUAAAUUUUAAGUAAUAUAUAUUCAAAAUAUUUUUAAUUUAAUUUUAUUUAUUUUAAUAUUAUGUUUCUAUCUAUUAUUAAAAAUUACUUUAAUAUAAUAAAAUAGGUCUAAUAGAUUGAAAAAUAUGAAAAUAUUUUUAAAAUUUUAAAUUAUUUUGAAAUGUAUAUAUUAUUACAUUUAUUUCAAUGUCAUAUUUCCAUUUAUUAUAAAAUUUUGGGGUUAUUUUUUUGGGAAUUUAUAGAGUCAAAGAGCAUUAUGGUUAAAAAAGAGUCUUGGUGUCCCUUAUUGAAAACUUUAGAGUUUUUGUGACCAUUUUCCUAAAUCUUGGGGGUGUUGAAGUGGCACUUAUUGUAAGAUUGAUUUUAAAAUAUGUAAAAUUAAUUUUAUUACAUUACCAUAUGCUACAUCACCUGAAACUUAAUAAAUGGAACGUAGCAUUACUCCACGUUCACCGUUAUGACCUUAUGACAUUAGAAUUAAAAUCUUUCGUACGUUUAAAUUGUUUACUUCCAAAUUAAUCUUUCGUAAAUAUUUUGUACAGAUCUUAUCGGAGUUAGCGUGUUCAUUACAGUGUUUCUUUUCUUUUAUCCUUUCUUUUGAAACGUAUUUCCUGUGGACAAGGAAAGCAAAUAAUACCCUGCCACCAGGACCUCGCGGCUUGCCUGUAAUCGGAUACCUUCCAUUUCUCGGAAUUACUGACUUACACAAGACAUUCACGGAAUUAGCUGGUCUAUAUGGCCCGAUCUUCAAACUCUGGCUUGGCAACAAAUUGUGUGUAGUGGUUAGCUCGCCUUCAACUAGUUCUAUAAGAAUAUCCCUUUUAAGGGAUUCUCUCUCUGCAAAAUUUUUUUAUCUUCUGGUGCAUAAUAAAAACUUAUGCCACUUCAUUAACCACAGAUAUCUUUUGAGGAAACGAUGUUUCGUUUUCUUUUGUUUUUUCCUUCCUAAUCCUCGCAUAUCGUGUGAAGGCUAAUAUAUCCAAGAAUCUAAAUCUCUGUAAAUCUUUUUCUAUCCAAAUCUACAUAAUAAUUUAAUCCAUGCACAAUAUCUAUAAUUAUAUCGGCUGUCGGCUGAUUUCGUGGAGGGGGCGGCAGUUCAAAUUUUUUACGUGCAUGUUGGAUGGACGUCUCUAUUAAAGGAGAGCCACCACUUGCAUGGUAAUUUUUUUAAAUAAAUAUAUACAUUUCAAAAUAUUAUUUCAUUGUUGUAUAGUUAACAUGUCACCUUAGAUGUAUUUUAGAACUUCUCCUAUUAAAGAUAAUCUCAUGCAGUGAUACUUCUCGUGAUCUAAUCAUUAGUAGAAUCUAUAAUUUCGCUACUGUAAUAAAAUCUGUCCCUACCCUAUAUGAAUGUAGAUAUUUGACGCGAUUUGUAAUUGCUUCCGACAGGAAAACAGCAAUAGUUUAAUUGAAAUUUGUGGUAUGGAUUCCACGAAUCUUAUGACAGAAUACUGACCACUCCAACCCUAUCCACAUUUACACGAUUAAAACACAAGCUUAGAUGUGACAAUGCAUUUGUCACUUUUGUUCAAAUUCAUCCUGAAACACUAUACACUAAAUAAUCGAAUAUGGCUUCGUGGGUCGAUGAUGCUAGCAGCAACGAGACUGCAAUUAUCACUUGUUUUGUUGCUGUACUUGUCGUGGUCUAUUUCGCAUGGAAUGUAAACAAAUCAAGUAAAGCAAAUGCUAAAUUGCCACCAGGAUCUCGGGGCUUGCCAGUAGUCGGAUACCUCCCAUUUCUUGGAACUACUGACUUACACAAGACAUUCACGGAGUUAGCUGGAGUUUAUGGUCCGAUCUUCAAGAUUUGGCUUGGGAAUAAAUUGUGUGUAGUGGUGAGCUCGCCUACCCUAGUUAAACAAGUGGUCCGUGAUCAAGAUAUAACAUUCUCAAACCGCGACCCACCGAUCGCUGGAACUGUGACCACCUACGGUGGCAAUGAUAUUGCACUUUCCAAUUAUGGUCCCGAAUGGAAAAAGUUGCGAAAAUUAUUUGUGAGCAAGAUGAUGAGUAAUGCAACCCUUGAUGCUUGUUAUGCUCUAAGAAAACAAGAGGUUAAAAAUACUAUCAGGGAUUUGUACAACAACAAUAAGGAUAAUAUUGGCAGUGGCAAUGGCAAGCCCAUUGACGUUGGUGAAUUGUCGAUUUCAACUUUGGUACGUGUUAUGCAGAACAUGCUGUGGGGUCAAGCAUUGGAAACAAGAGAGAAAGAGAUUACUAAUCUCGGGGCUAAUCUUGCAGAACUCAUGGUGCUACUGGGAACACCAAAUAUUUCGGAUAUUUUUCCAGUGCUUUCAUUGCUUGACAUGCAAGGUAUAGAGAGAAGAGCUAAGAAGAUUUCUCUAUGGUUUGAAAACAUUAUCAAUUCUGGUGUUGAACAGUAUAGAAACAAGUUUUCUGUUGUUAAAGGUGAAGAAGCUGCAGCAGGAAAAAAUAUUGAACGAUCAAGAAAUAAGGACUUCUUGCAGUUACUGUUGGAGCUUCAGGAAAAUGAAGAUAGUGCUUCAUCUAUUAGCAUGAACCAACUAAAGGCCGUGCUCGUGGUAUGUUAAGCAACUAGACACAAAAAGUUGUAAAAGCACAGUGAUAUAUUUGCGCGAGGCCGCGAGUGAUGUUUUGCCUCGAGAACUCUCAAUUUUAUCUUACGGUAAAAAAUGUUUUUCAACUUUUUUUAAUUAGAAUUUUAUUGCAAUUUAUUUAACAGGACAUAAUUGUGGCCGGAACCGACACCACAACUACGAUGGUGGAAUGGACAAUGGCAGAGUUGAUGCAACAUCCACAAGUAAUGAAGAAAGUUCAAGAAGAAUUAGCUCAAGUUGUGGGCAUGGACAGUUGUGUUGAAGAAUAUCACUUGCCUAAAUUAAAUUAUUUAGAUGCUGUGGUGAAAGAAACAUUUCGUUUGCAUCCUGCGUUGCCCUUAUUGGUACCUCGCACGGCAAGCGAGAACAGCAAUAUUGGUGGCUAUACCAUUCCCAACGACACUAAUUUUAUGUUGAAUGUUUGGGCUAUUCACAGGGAUCCUCAACUUUGGGAUAAUCCCUUAGAUUUUCGACCUGAGAGGUUCUUGAAUGAUGAUAUCAUAAGCAAAUUCAAUUACUCGGGUAACAAUUUUCAGUACUUGCCAUUUGGUUCUGGUAGAAGGAUGUGCGCUGGCAUUCCUCUAGCUGAGAGGAUGUUGAUGCUUGUUCUGGCUUCGUUGUUGCACUUGUUUGAGUGGAAAUUGCCCCCGGGCACAAAGCUAGACUUAGCUGAAAAGUAUGGGAUUGUCAUGCGGAAAAAAGAGCCUCUGAUUGCUAUUCCAACACCAAGGCUACCAAAUUCAGAUCUCUACCAGUAAGAUCAAAAUGGUUGUGAUGAUAUUAUUUCCCAUUGUAUUGGAAUAUUUUUGUGUGAUUUGAAGUUCAAUCAUAAUAAAAUAUUUUAAUAAAAUGUCCUCGGUUGCUAAUUUUUCAAUAGUAUACUCUAUCAUCGUUUCUAACUGUCUUUUAGAGCCAUUUGGUCUAAUUUAUUUUUGAAUUAAAAUCCAUAAAUAUUUAAAUUUUUGAAUCAUAUUAAGAAUUAUCUGGAGUGUAUGGUCUGAUCUUCAAGUUCUGGCUUGUAAACAAAUUAGAGUUCUGAUAUUUGCCCCGGGUCAAACCCCGAAAUUAAAUAAAACGGCGUCGUUUUGUUUUUUUUUUUUUUUUUUUCUUUUUUACUUCUUCCAAACGUUGCCAUUUCACUUGUCAUUUGCAAGUGACUCCAUUGAUCCUUAGUUGAAACAGAGUUACACCGUAAAUCUCUUCCUCUUCGUUUCUUCGUUUCACCAGGGAACGAGACAGAUAAAAUCCAGCCAUUCUUCGACAUAACAAGAUAUCGAUUAGAAUCCAACGACAUAACUAUAAACCAUGACAUUGCGCUUGAUUUUGCGAAAUACCGAUUAAGAACCAGUAACUUUGAAUCCAAUGACCGUUAAGAGUUUGAAAUUGGUUUCAAAUGACUAAUGAGUUAUCAGAUUUCUUUGCGUCUACAUUUUCCUUGAAGGUUUCUCAGCAGCCAAACAAAUACAAAGCAAAUUGCAGAAGAAACACAUUUUGUUCCAAUGAAAAAUGUACGGAAACAUUUUAAAUAUGGAAAAUUACCUCAAAAUGAAGGCUCGCAAGAGAUUCGAGCAACAAAUUAGAUCAAAGGAACCGGCGCUGAGCAAGAAAGUGAGCUCAAAGAUUCCGAAACACAAACGUAAAUUCACAAAAAUGCAAAUCUAUGAUGAACGCCAAGAUCAAAAUUUUCGAAGAAAGGGAGCUGAAAAAAUAAAUGAAACGUCAAACUAGAUGACAAUGGAUUUGCUUCUUCAAAGGAGACAAUGAAAUUGUUACUAGAGACAGCUAGAGAAAUAGAGAGAGAGAGAGAGAGAGCUUGAAUUGGCUGUACCCCCACCAGAAAGUGGGUAGUGCCUUUUCCACUUGGACUUGAUAUGCGAAUCUGAAAAAAUCUGAACGAAGGACUGACUCAUCCCAGCUCGAAAGCAAACCAAGCUAGGACUGACUGAAAACGUUGCCGUUUGGAGAAGUUAAAAAAAAAAACUAAACAAAACGACGCCGUUUUGUUUAGUUUCGGGGUUUGACCCGGAAUUUGACCCGGGGCAAACAUCAUUUUCCAACAAAUUAUGCAUGGUCGUGUACACGCUUUCCCUAAUUAAGCAUGAGGUUCGUGAUCAAGGCACAACAUUCACUCCCUGCGACCCAACAAUCGCUACAUUGUUUGCCACCUAUAGUGCCAACGAUUUUGCACGGUCCAAUUAUGGUCCCCAAUCGAAAACGUUGCGCAAAUGUUUUCUGGGCAAGAUGAUAAGUAACGCAAGCCUUGAUGCUUGUUAUGGUCUAAGAAAACAAGAGGUUAAUAUAUAUAUAUAUAUAUAUAUAUAUAUAUAUAUAUAUAUAUAUAAAUUGGCAUUGUCAACUUUUGUAUGUUUUAUUCAGAACCCGCUGUGGGUUGACGCUAGCAUGCUUGCGUUAGGAGACGAGGGGACCAAUCUUGGGGCUGAGCUAAAAUAUAAGCUUGUAGAGAUCAUCUUGCUAAUGGUAAUGUUUUCCGAUGCUGGUUUAAUUCAUGGUAUAAAAAGGAGAACAAAAAAGAUUUUUCUAUGCUUUGAAAAUAUUAUAAUUUUUAUUUUAUAAUUUUUAAUAAAAUCUCUCAUUGAUAGCCAAACAAUUAAAAUUUUUGUAAAGCUUUUGUGGACUUUUGAUCGCGUAUGGUGCCAAUGUAUUGCGUGGUCCUAUUAUGGUUCCAAAUGGAGAAAGUUGCACAAGUUUUUUGAGUACCAGAAGAUCAGUAAUGUAAGCCUUGAUGGUUGUUAUGGUCUAAGAAAACAAGAGGCUAAAAAUUCUAUCUGGGAUUUUUAUAACAACAACAAAAUUGGCAAGCCCAUUGACAUUGGUGAAUUGUCAGUUUCAACCUUGGUAAGUGCGAUUCAGAACAUGCUGUGGGGUGAAACGCUUGAAAUAACAAAGAAAUGGAUUUACUAAUAUUGGGGCUGGGCUAAGAUUUAAGCUUGCAGAACUCACGGUGCUAGAGGGAACACCGAAUAUUUUGGAUAUCUUUCCAGUGCUUUCAUGGUUUAAUAUACAAGGUUUUCAGAGAAUAGCAAAGAAGAUUUCUCUAUGGUUUUAAAAUAUUAUCAAUUCUACUGCUGAACGCUAUAGAAACAACGUCUCUAUUGUCAAAAGUGAAGAAGCAGCAGCAGCAGGGAACAAUAUUGAAGGAAGGAAUAAGGACUUGGUGCAGUUACGCUUGGAGCUUCAAGGUAAAGAAGACAAUGCUUCAUCAAUUAGCAGGACGCAAUUUAAGAGCUUGCUCGUGGUAUGUUGCGCAACUAGCCACAGACAGUUACAGAAACUGAGUUUGGCAGAUUACGACCGUUUCUGGUGAUUACAUAAUUAUUUGUGGCUGUUUUUUUUUUUUAAUUGUAAUUUUCUUAACAGGAUAUAAUUUAGGGUGGAACCAACACCACAACUAUAAUGGUGGAAUGGACAAUGGCAUAAUUGAUACAGCAUCCACAAGUAAUAGAGAAUGUACAGGUAGAACUAAAUCGGGCCGUGGCCAUCGACAGCCAUGUUGAAGAAUUUCACCUAGCUAAGUUAAAAUAUUUAGAUGCUGUGGUGAAAGAAACAUUCUGCACUGUAAUAUAAUACAUGAAUCAUAUGUCCUCUAUUGUUUUUUUAUUUUUCUCUUUUUUUCAAUAGCUUAAUCUAUCAUUAAAAUCUUCUGAAAUUCUAAAUUAAUAUACAUUCAACCUAGAGUUCAAGCCAAAGUUUUAUUGAGCAUUAAAAAAAAAAAAAAUUCUACGACUCAAAAUUUUGUGGAGUAUAAAUUAAAAAUUAUGCGCCUACUAAGAGACAAAAAAUAAAUGAUACACAUUAACCAAUCAAAGGCGAACAAGAGAUUAUUAACAAUAACCUAAUAAUAAAAUUAUAAUGAAUAAAAAAGAAAUGGUACCUAGAAACACAUCACAGCCAUUUAAGCAAUCACUUACCCACAAAAUCCAAACAUAUAAACUAUGUGGGGGGGGGGGGGGGGGGGGGGGGUGUCAUGAUACCUUUGGGUUUCAUGAUAAUCAAAAUUGCAAUACCAUUAAAGACUCAAAAAUAAAAAAAAUCAUAGCCAAUAAAAGAGAAAAAAUAACCCACAAAAAAUCAUCAAGAAAAUAAAUUUGAGACUAAGAGAAGAUAUUAAUUAAACCCUGGGUUGCCUUGGAACCACGGCUUUGGCUUCCAUUUUUCAAUUCUUGGCGACAAGUCAUUUCUUGUUUGUUUACAAAGAUGACGGCUGAUUAAUGAAGCUCUAUUAACAAUGAAUAAAUAAAAAAACUGGCGCCUUGAAAAGACUAACGGUCAUAUUUUUCAACUCCGAAUUAGUGCCGUUUGAUGAGUCCUUGCCAAAACAAUCACUAGGCAAAUAACAAUCAUUUUUCAACCAGCAAAACUCAUUCAUUGUAUUUCACCUUAGUCAAGAUUUAAAAAUUGUUUCAAAAUAAACCUAGUGGUUAGAACCCAAGCGUCACAAUUGUGAGGUCAUGGGUUUGAGCCCCCACAACGUAUUGUGGGGGUUAAUUUUCUUCUUCAAUUUGAGUGAAAACAGUUCUCUCCCUUUCGAAAUGUGGGUGGAGUGGACGUCCCUCAAAUAUUAGAGAGGGUUCAAAUUUGGAUUGUACUAUAUAAGAUUUAUAAAUUAGUCCCAGUAAUUAUCUGAUUGUAAAUAUCAAUAUACUAAUCUAAUUAAAUAUGAGUUGUAAUAUGAGCGUUAGUCUCAUGUAAUUAAAAAAAAAAUGUUUCAAAAUAGGAUUCUUAAAAGGUUGGGGAAAUGGCCAUCAAUAUCCCCAACUUUCCAAAAAGAGACACCAAGACCCAUUUUGACCAUAAUACCCUUUACUUCUAUUAUCCCCAAAAAAUUGACUCUAAUGUUUUAUAAUAAAUAAAAAUAUAACAUUAAAAUAAAUGUAAUAGUAUAUACAUUUUAAAAUAGUUUCAAUAUCUAAAAACCAUUUUAAUAUUUUAAAUCCUAUUAUAUAUAUAUUAAAGUAAAUUUUAUAAUAAAUAGAAUCAUAAUAUUGAAAUAAAUGCAUUAAAAUUUAAAUUAUUUUUAAUAUUAUGUAAAAUAAUAAUUUUAUCAUUAUAAGUAUAUGAGAAUUUUUUUAAUUGUAGAAUGUAUUUAAUGCAAAUAUUUAUUUAAAAUCUCUACAAUAAAUAAAAAUAUACUAUUAAAACAAAUCUCUACAAUAUAUACAUACAUACAUAUACAUUGGCCUGGUAUUUUAUUUUUCAUUUUUUAAACUUAUUAAAUCCUCUAACUAUCAUUUGAUUAUUUUUUUCAAUGAUGAAGAGGCCAUUGCCGGAUAAAUUAUUAAAAUCAACUAGUUCUACAAGAAUGUCCCUUUUUAAAGGAAGAUGAUUCUCUCUCUCGAAAUUUUUUAUCUUGUGCUACAAACUAAAAACUUAUGCCAUUUCAUUAACCACAGAGAUCUUUGAGGAAAUGAUGCUUCGCCCCCCCCCCCCCCCCCCCCCCCCCCCCCCCCCCCCCGCGGCGCCAAAAAGUGUCCUUCCAUAUUUUGUGAAGGCUAAUACAUCGAUGAAUCUAGAUUUCUUUAAAUUUUUUGUUUUACUCAAUUCGAGAUAAUAAAUAGUUUAUCUUUAUUAAAUCUUUACUUUAACAAUGAUAGAUAUUCAAUCCAUGCAAAUAUCUAUCAUUGUAUGAGCUGAUUGCGUGGAGGGAGCGGUAAUUGAAAUCUAAUUGAAAACAGCAGAAGGCUGUUCUUGACAGAUCUCAAAUAUAUUACGGACACGUUGGGAGACAUCUCUAUCAUAGAUAUCCCCAUGCAGUGAUAUUUGUCGUGAUCUAAUUUUUAGUAAAUCUGUAAGAGAGAUUGUAACAUCUUUCAAGUUUUUUGGUUUGAUAUUCUAGACGAAAACGGUUUGUCGUUUCUUGAGCAAACGGCUAACCGUUUAAGUCCAGAGAGCAUGUUUGUUGUUCUGGAUAAAACGGCUCACCGUUGUUGCGAAAACGGCUAACCGUUUAACUCAAGAGAGCAUGUUUUAUGUUCUAGAGAAAACGGCUCACCGUUAUUGAGAAAACGGCUAACCGUUUAUUUACAGAGAGCAACGUAUUUGAUAUUCUGGAAUAAAAUGGCUCACCAUUUAUUGAGAAAACGGCUAACUGUUUAUUUCCAGAAAGGCGUCAAUUAGAAAAACGGUUAGCAAGAAUGAAAAUUUCAAUUGACAAUCGAUGCAAAUUCAAACCAAAAGAGUGUCUUCGAAAAAGUACCAUUUCUAAUGGUUGUAUUCUUUCAAAUAAACAUCUUCUUCAUUAAAGAAAUACACACAAUUAGAUUGAUAAUCAGAUUUUGACAGGUUUCUUAUAUGUUCUGGAAAUACAAUCUUAUUUGCUAGAGAUUGUAUUCAGGAUUUGUUAUAUCUUGGGGGUAAUUUGCCAUUAAAACUAUAUAGCAAACCAAGAUUGGUGAGGGCAAAUAAAACCUUAAAGGAAAGUAUGCAAACACGUCUCAAAUCCUAUGAAACUUUCUUUGUUCUUUGCCUCCAUAUUCUUAUUAUUCACUAACAAAAUCCCCAUGCAGUGAUAUUUGUCGUGAUCUAAUUAUUAGAAAAAUCUAUGAUUUCGCUACUGUAAUAAAAUUUGUCACUACUCUACAUUAAUCUAAAUGUCUGAUGAGAUUUGUAAUUGCUUCCGACGGGAAAACAGUUAAUAGGUUGAUUGAAUGUAUGUGGUAAAGAUUCCACGUAUCUCACGACAGAAUGCUGACCACUGGAACCCUAUCUACUUUUACGCGAUUAAUUCACGAGCUUAGGCACGACAAUUGCAAUACAAAUUAUCCCUUCAUCAUAUAUUUCGUUAAAAUUCAUUCUGAAGCACUAAAACUAAACAAUCGAAUAUGGCUUUGAGGGUCGAUGAUGCCAGCAGCAAUGAGAGUGCAAUUAUCACUUGUUUAGUUUCUGUGCUUGCCGUGGCUUAUUUAGCAUGGAAUGUGAAAAAAUCAAGGAAAGCAAAUGCUAAACUGCCACCAGGACCUCGCGGCUUGCCUGUAGUCGGAUACCUCCCAUUUCUCGGGACUACUGACUUGCACAAGAAAUUCACGGAAUUUAUUUUACUAUUAUAUUUAUAUUCAAAAUAAUUUUAAUUAGCUUUUAAAAUGAAUGAUUUUAGGAAAUUAUAAAUAAAGGUAACUAAGAAUUCUCUUAAUGUAAUAUAUUAUUAAUUAGUUUAAAAAUACAAAUUUAUUAAUUAGAGAAAUUAUUAGUGAAUUUAAAUUAAUGAUCUUAAUGAUUUGUUUGUACGAUUGCCCCCAAUCAAAGGUAAUUUUCCUAAAAAUUAUUAGGAAAUUAGAGAAAUUUAAUUUUUUUAGUGGGUUCAAUUGCCCACACACCCCGACUGAAGCAUUUUUUACAAUAUGUACUCCGUUUGUCGGCAGGAAAAUAAAGGUCUUGACACAUGAUCACUUCACUCCUUUAUUUACUUUGCUAACGCAGAUUUUGAGGUAUUAAAACAAAUAAUAAUUGAAUAUGACUUUGUGGGUCGACGACGCCAGCAACGAGGAGACCGCCAAUUAUCACAUUUUAAGUUUGCUGUAAUUGCCGUUGUUUUAUAUUAGUAGAAUAUUAGUGAUAAGAUAAUUGUAGAGUUUUCAUUUUUUUAAUAUUAAAAUCAAGUCAAUUUAUUAUAAUAAAUUUAGUUGAAUUUAAUCGUAUUACCACAUAAAUUGAAUAAUAAUAGAAUUCUCGACAAUAUUUCAAUAUUUUAAUCUCAAGCAUUGGAGUGGCAUUUAUUUGUUAUACGGUCGAUUUUAGAAUUUAUAAAAUUAUUCGUUGCUGAAUUGCACCAUAUGCUGCAUAACCUGAAACUUAAUAAACGGAACGUAGCGUUGGCACCGUUACUCAACAUUCACUGUUACGACUUUGUGACAUUAGAAUUAAAAUCUUUUCCACAUUUAAUUUGUUUACUUCCAACUUAAUAUUUAACAAAAUGUAUGUUAGCAUUGUAUGCCAUAUCAUCUGUAAUUUUGUCAGGAUCGAUCAUUCUAAUUUUUAAGCAGAACUUUUUGUCAAUGGACAAACACCUCAUACAGCUUGUCAGAGGCAUUAGUAUGAUGUAAAAUUGUAAUGGUAUAUCUUGAAUUAUUUUAGAAUAGUGAAUAACUAUUUGGAGCAAUAAAAACAAAUAAGACAGAUGAGAAAAUGGCUAAAAUUAUAUAAGUGACCCAAAAUUUUUUGCUAUUUCCAAGAAAUCCCCAAUCUGAAUGGACCAGAGGGAGGCAAGUUAGAAAUACAUUUCCUUCAUAGACAAUAACAACGAUGAGUGGAUGACAUCAAACCACGUUGGUAUCAAUAUUGAAAUAAAGGUGCAAUUAUUCAGCCAAUGAGCCUUAGUACACAUCAAGAUAUAUAAAAGUCAAGAAAAUGAAAAUUUAUCCCAAUUAAAACUCUUUCUGGCUGCAUUUAGCUGUUUCUGUUUAGGGAUGGCAAUUUAAUCCGGACCCAGCCCGACCCGGAUGAAUCCAGAAAAUUCGGGGUGGAUUCAACCCGUACCGGAGUGAAUAAAAUCUGAUAUUCAAAUUCAAUAUUUUCAACCCGGACGUUUCCGAGUCCGGAUCCGGAUUUGGGUAAACCCGCAUAUCCGGAACCCGGAUCCGGAUAACUAUUUUAAUAUUAAUUUUUAAAUCAUUUUAAAAUAAAAAAAAAUUAGAAAAAAUCAGCCCUAAUGCCCUUCCACAGCCACGGCAGCCAAACCAAACCCAGACAUUUCCUCUCUCUCUCUUUAGCCCUUCUUUUCAACAAAUCAUCAUCGUUGCUCAUCAUCGUUUCGUCGUGUUCAUCUUCAUCUUCAUCAUCAGCUGCCGUUUGUCCAGCUAUGUCACUAGUUUUGGCCGCCGUUUCCGUUUGUGCACCUUCGCAAAUCGGGAUCUCGAUUUGGCCGCCAACACUUCUACCCCCUGGUGUUUUGCUUUGUCCUCGACAACUUCUUUGUUGAUAAAUUGACGGGCACUUAUGAAUGCAUUUGUCUCUGUUUCUUCAUUUACACCUUCCCAGUUGUUUGUUCAUUUGCUUUUUGGAAGGAAAAAAAAAAAAAAUCAGCCACCAUUUAUCCUUCCCCUUUUCUUGACCUAACCCCACAAAGCCCAAUUUGUCAUCAUCAUUCAUUGGCAAAUUUGUUAUCAUCAUGGUUGAGACAUCAUGAUUAUCUUUGAUAAUUGAAUUUGUGUAAUAUGUUACCUUGGAUUUUAUUUCUAAGUAUUUGAUUUUGAAUUAUUUUCCAUUAUUGGUGUUAAUAGAUAGAAGAUUAGAAAGGAAUUCUUCACUGAAUAAAGAGAUGGGAAAUUGCAUCUUUUAGCAAUCAUCCGGGUUAUAAACCCGGAAUCCGGAAACCAGGAUUUUUCCGGGUUUAACCCAGUCCGGACCCGAAUGAAAAAUAUCCGGGUUUACAUCCGGGUCUGGUAUUAAAAUUUAUCGUCCGGAUCCGGAACAGGGAAGACAAAACCCGGACCCGAACCCACAUUUUGCCAUCCCUAUUUCCAUUUGAAGUUAACAACAACGUUUCUUUCGUUUUGUGGGCGACUUGACUGAGCCAGCUGGAUUCUAGUGCUAGUAUGUGAAAAUAGAAGGCUAAUGAUUUCACGUUCACUAGCCCACCUCCCCUCCUCUCGUUUCCUCUGAAUCAAUUUUCACGUGUGGUACCGAUUGAAAAUAUCUCUGACAUUUCGUGGACAUCUCUAUUGAAAAUAUCUCAGACAUUUCACUCAGGCAAACUUAUUAAUAUAAAAAAUCUAUGAUUUUUUCGUCUUAUACUGUAGAAAAAUUUGUCUAUACAUUAAUCUAGAUGUUUGAGGUGGUUUAUACAUCUGUGGUAUAGAUUUAUAGGUUGAUUGAUACGUCUGUGGUAUAGAUUUUAUGUAUUUCAUUAUCAAAUGCUGGCCUUUGGGACCCUAUCUACAUCUAUUUAUAAAACUAACGGGUGCCAGUUAUGCCAUUACAAAUUAUCCCCUCUUCAUACAUUUCCUUAAAAUUCUUCUGAAACACCAAAACUAAAUAAUCGAAUAUGGCUUUGCGGGUCGAUGAUGCCAGCAACAAUGAGGCUGCAAUUAUCACUUGUUUAGUUUCUAUGCUUGCCGUGGUUUAUUUCGUAUGGAAUGUGAACAAAUCAAGGAAAGCAAAUGCUAAACUGCCACCAGGACCUCGCGGUUUGCCUGUAGUCGGAUACCUCCCAUUUCUCGGAACUACUGACUUGCACAAGAAAUUCACGGAAUUAUCCGGAGUUUAUGGUCCGAUCUUCAAGCUCUGGCUCGGAAAUAAAUUAAGUGUCGUGGUGAGCUCACCUUCCCUAGUUAAACAAGUGGUUCGUGAUCAAGAUACAACAUUCGCAGACCGUGACCCGCCGAUCUCAGGACUAGUGACCUCCUUUGGUGGCAAUGAUAUUACAUGGUCCAAUUACGGUCCCGAAUGGAGAAAGUUGCGCAAAUUUUUUGUGGGCAAGAUGAUGAGUAACGCAAGCCUUGAUGCUUGUUAUGCUUUAAGAAAACAUGAGGUUAAAAAUACUAUCAGGGAUUUGUAUAACAACGGCAACAAAAUUGGUAAGCCCAUUGACAUUGGUGAAUUGUCGAUUUCAACAUUGGUAUGUGCUAUGCAGAACAUGCUGUGGGGUGAAGCGCUUGAAUUAAAAGAGAAAGGGACAACUAAUCUUGGGGUUGAGCUAAAAUUUAAGUUUGCAGAACUCAUGGUGCUACUGGGAACACCGAAUAUUUCGGAUAUCUUUCCAAUGCUUUCUUGGCUCGACAUACAAGGUAUAGAGAGGAGAGCAAAGAAGAUUUCACUCUGGUUUGAAAAAAUUAUAAAUUCUACUGUUGAAAAGUAUAGAAGCAAGGACUUUAAUGUUGAAGGUAAAGAAAGAGCAGGGGAAAAUUUUGAAGGAUCAAGGAACAAGAACUUCUUGCAGUUACUAUUGGAGCUUCAAGAAAAUGAAGACGGUUCUUCCUCAAUUAGCAUGAACCAAUUUAAGGCCGUACUCGUGGUAUGUUAAGAAACUAGCCGCAAACAGUUAUACAAGCACAGCUGUAUAUUUUGCAUGAGUGAUAUUUUCAACCUUUUUUUUUUAUAAUUAGAAUUUUAUUGUAACCUUUUGGACAGGAUAUAAUUACGGCUGGAACCGACACCACAACUACGAUGGUGGAAUGGACAAUGGCAGAGUUGAUGCAGCAUCCACAAAUAAUGAAGAAAGUUCAGGAAGAAUUAGCUCAAGUUGUGGGCAUGGACAGUUGUGUUGAAGAAUUUCAUUUGCCUAAAUUGAAAUAUUUAGAUGCUGUGGUGAAAGAAUCGUCUCGUCUGCAUCCUGCAGUGCCUUUAUUACUACCACGCAGAGCAAGCGAGAGUGGCAGCAUUGGUGGCUAUAACAUUCCCAAAGAUACAACUAUUAUGUUGAAUGUUUGGGCAAUCCACAGGGACCCUAAACUUUGGGAUAAUCCCUUAGAAUUUCGACCCGAGAGGUUUCUAGAUGAUGGUAUCGCGAGUAAGUUCGAUUACUCAGGUAACAAUUUUCAGUACUUGCCAUUUGGUUCUGGUAGAAGGAUGUGUGCUGGGAUUCCUCUAGCUGAGAGGAUGCUGAUGUUUGUUUUGGCUUCGUUAUUGCACUCAUUUGAGUGGGAAUUGCCAGCUGGCACAAAGCUAAACUUAUCUGAAAAAUUUGGGAUUGUCAUUAAGAAAAAAGAGCCUUUAGUUGCUAUUCCAACACCAAGACUAUCCAAUUCAGAGCUCUACCAUUAAGACAGAAUGGUUGUGAUGAUUUUGUUAAUUUCCGAAGAUUUGUAUGUUAUGUCAAGUUCAAUCGUAAUAAAAUAUUUCAAAUAAGAGUCCUCCGUUGCUUUUUUUUUUUUUUUCAACCGCAUAAUCUGUCGUCAUGCUUGUAUUUGGGGCUACUUUGGAAUAAUUAUGUUUGAAUUACAAUAUAUAAAUAUUACAUUUUAAAAUUUUAUGAGAUUCUAAAUUUAUACACGUUCAAUAACCCACUUCAUAUAUGUUUAACACAAUUUAUAUCAUACAUUGUAUACCCAUUUGUCAUAAAUUACGCUAUUUUAUAUCUCUAAAUAAUAUUACAUAUUGAUAUUAUAAAAUGUUGUUAACUCACGUGUGUAUAUAUAUAUAGCAAGUCACGUGCAUAUAUUAUUGGUUGUUAUAUGUUUGCUAGUUUGAUAGGAUUUCCUUUCCUUGUGAACUAGGGUAAUUCUUAUGUACAUAUAAAUAUUGAUCAAUAAGAGUGCAGAUGAUGACUGCAGUUUUGCAUCGUAGAAAUUCUUCGUAAAAUAUAUAUGUUUAUCAAAAGGCUAUACCAUUCAAUAUAUAUUGGAAAGAGAACAAAGAAGAUCUUCUUAUGGUUUGAAAAUAUUAUGAAUUCUGCUGUUGAACAGUAUGGAAACAAGGUCUGUUGUUAAAGGUGAAGAAGUCACAGGGAACAAUAUUGAAGGAAGAAAUUUCACGUUUAGUUGCUGAAUUUGCCGCUGUAUUCUAUCGGUAGUAAAAAGAUUAGAGUUUUUAUUUUUCUCUAUUAAUGUUAAGUCAAUUUUCUAUAACAAAUUCGGUUGAGUUUAAUUGUGUUACAAUAUAAAUUGAAUGAUAGUAGAAUUUUCAACGAAUAAUUCAAUAUUUCUAUCUCGAUUGUUGAAGUGCCAUUUAUUUGUUAUACGAUCGAUUUUAAAAUUUAUAAAAUUAUUUGUUACUAAAUUGCAUCAUAUGCUAAAUCACCUGAAACCUAAUUUCAUAACUAACCCUUUAUUUUUAGUUCUCAAGAAAUCUUGUAAGAACAAAAUUCUUUUGUAACAAAACGUUUACAACAAAUUAAUUUGUAACUCAUUCCUGUGCGAGAAUCACUCUCAAUUUCCUUCAAUUGCUGUUUAACAAUCAUCUGCUUAUCAAAAUUCAAGCAUAAUCUUUUUUUUUAAUUUCUUCAUCAUUCUUUUGAAAAAAAAAAUCAGGAUAUGCUGUUAAAUUUUGAAAUAAAUUAUCUCAAAAUAAUUACUAACCAGAAAAAACAAAGGGGUUUAACUAGGUUAUGCAUACCUUUGAAAAUUAUAUGUUGAUCGAUAAGAAUGAUGAUCACGAUUGACGAGUUUAAUUAAAAUAUAUAAGAUUUUAAAAUUAAUCAGGGUUAAAUUGUGAAUUUUAGAAAGAGAGGUUUUGUGAGAAUGUUGAAAGGGUGUUAAUAGUUCCACUCUUUUUAAAAACAACCAUAGUCAUCAUUUUUCCAUGGUUGUUUUUAAAAAGAGUAUUUCUUCUUCCCAUCUCCAUCUUAUUUAGAAAUUUCCCAGAGCCUUUGUUUCCCACCUUUCAUUUUUCUUCUUUCUAAUUUAAUAAUCCACCCUUCUUGUAUUCAAACUAAAAAAUUAAAAUCUGAAAAUUUAAAACCCAAUAUUAUAGUAUUAUAAAAAUAAUUACUCACAUUUUAUCAAACACCUCCAUUCUUCCAAGGCCUUGUUUUAGUAGUAGGCUUUUAUUAUCUCAAUAAAAUUGAAAAAAAAAAUCUCAAUAAUAUUGGAAAAAAACCCUACCCAUAUUUGUAACUUUAAUUUAUUAUUCUCCAUAGACCUACUUUUUAGUUUUGAAUUUUGUUGGAGCCAUAUAUAAACAGAAUAUGUUGAAAUCAGCACCCAAAAAAAAAAAAACUAAUUAUAUAAUUUAUGUUCCCAAGGACAUGGCUGAGUGAUUUUCAAGAAGUUUUGUUUGGCUGGCCACUUAGGUUUAAAUCUUGGUGGAGAUUAAGGGUUAAGAAAUAAAUUUAGACUUUGCACACCCCUUUAACUUUUAAAAAGAAAUGAAAAAAUUAAUUAAUUAAUCUUUAUUUUAUUUAUUAAAUGUCAUAAUCCUAUGCGUAUUUUAUUUGUUAUCUUUCUAUUUAAAAGACGAGGGCAGAUAAAACUGAAAUAAAUUUUUAGCCCUAUCUCCAUAUUUCAAGUUCCAUAGUUAGGUGACCAGCUAAAAAAAAUUAAUUGAAAGCUACUCCAUCAAAUUAAAAAAAUUUAUUUAUUUAAUUUGUGGAGAUGUAGAAAAUCAAACCCCAUACCUUUUCGCAUACACUGAACAUAUUUUAAUACAUGACUAUCAUCCUUUAUCCUAAAUACUACUAUAACUAAUAACAUACAAUUGAAAUAAUUAAUGUUAACACUUGGCUAUAAAUAAAGGUUUUGUGCUUGAAUCUUCACGCAUGACCUUCAUUCCUUUAUUGACUUUGCUAACACAGAUUUUGAGGCAUUAAAACUAAAUAAUAAUUGACUUUGUGGGCCGAGGAUGCCAGCAACAAGGAGACCACAAUUAUCACUUAAGUUACUCUAAUUGCCGUUGUCUUAUAUUCAUAGAAUAUUAGUAAUAAGAUUAUUGCAGAAUUUUUUUAAUAUUAAAAUUAAGUCAAUUUGUUAUAACAAAUUUAGUUGAGUUUAAUCGUGUUACUACAUAAAUUGAAUAAUAAUAGAAUUCUCGACAAAUAUUUCAAUAUUUUUAUCCCAAGCGUUGGAGUGGCAUUUAUUUGUUAUACGAUCGAUUUUAGAACUUAUAAAAUUAUUCGUUACUGAAUUGCACCAUAUGCUGCAUGACCUGAAACUUAAUAAACGGAAUGUAGCGUUGGCACCGUUACUCAACAUACUGUUACGACUUUGUGACAUUAGAAUUAAAAUCUUUUGCACAUUUAAUUUGUUUACUUCAAAAUUAAUAUUUAACAAAAUAUUUUUUUCACAUUAUCAAUGGACAAAACUCCAACGAAAAUAACUACACAAGAAAAAUGUAUGCUAGUAUUGUGUGCCAUAUCAUCUGUAAUUUUGUCAGGAUCGAACACUCUAAUUUUUAAGCAGAACUUUUUAUCAAUGGACAAACACCUCACACAGCUUGUCAGAGGCAUUAUUAUGAUAGAAAACUGUAAUGGUAUAUCUUGAAUUAUUGGUAGAAUAGUUCUUUGGAGCAAUAAAAAUAGAUAAGACAGAUGAGAAAAUUGUCAAUACCCCACCGCAAAAGCAAAAGAAAAAAAGGAAAGGAGACAAAAGAGGAAGAAGAAAAAAAGGAAAGGAGACAAAAGAGGAAGAAGAAAAAGAAAAAAGAACGAAGAAAAAAAUGGUGCCGCGCUGUAUUGGGAAGAAGAAAAAAAUUAAUAAAAUAAUAAUAAAUAAUAAAUAAUAAAUAAUAAAAUAAUAGUGCACAACAAUCAUUUGAUUGCUAUAAAUAAAGGGGCAUUUUCCUCAUUUUAUUCAUCGAAUUCUUCAGUUCCUUUCAAGCGAUUUAAGAGUCUAGUGAUUUGAGAGUUUGGGAGUAUUGUGAUUUUGAGUACUAAGUUAAAAUACUAUAAUACUUGUAACUCAUUUUCACUAGUAAAAUAUUUUUCUUCUGUCUUCGCCCGUAGACGUAGGCUAAAAGCUGAACCACGUAAUUUCUGGUGUCCCUAUGUGAUUAUGUGUCUCAUUAUUUCUCAAUUUUACUUUAGUUACGUGUCUGCUACACCCUUCAAUUUACUAACAAAAAUGGCCAAAAUUAUAUAAGUGACCCAAAUUUUUUUGCUAUUUCCAAGAAAUCCCCAAUCGGAAUAGACCAAACUAGAGGGAGGCAAGUUAGAAAUACGUUUCCUUCAUAAACAAUAACAGCGAUGAGUCGAUGACAUCGAGCCACGUCGGUAUCAAUAUUGAAUUAAAGGUGCAAUUAUUCAGCCAAUGAGCCUUACACAUCAAGAUAAAAGUCAAGAAAAUGAAAAAUUUAUCCUAAUUAAAACACUUUCUGGCUGCAUUUAGCUGUUUCUAUUUGAAGUUAAAAACAACAUUUCUUUCGUUUUGUGGGCAACUCGACUGAGUUCGCUGGCUUCUAGUGCUAGUAUGUGAAAAUAGAAGGCUAAUGAUUUAUUUGUUAUCUUUUGACAAAAAAUGUUAAAGAUAUAAUAGAUUUUCCAUGAUACAAAUGAAAAAUUAUAUCAACAUAACUUCCAAGCUACAGCAGCUAGUGUUUACCAAACACUUUGCUGUAGCUUUUAAGCUACAGCUGCCCAACCUCAAUAGGUUGAUUGAAUUUGUGGGAUAUAGAUUCCACAUAUCUCAUGACCUAUUAAUUAUACAAGUGGUUCUUGAUCAAGAACAACAUUUGCUUCCGACCCAGUAACCCAGCAACUGCUGCACUGGUCGCCACCUAUGGUGCCGACGAUAUUGCAUGGUCCAAUUAUGGCCUUGAAUGGAAAAAGUUGAGCAAAUUAUUUGUGGGCACGAUGAUAAGUAACGCAAGCCUUGAUGCUAGUUAUGGUCGAAGAAAACAAGAGGUUAAGAAUACUAUCAGAGAUAUGCAUAACAACAAAAAGGAAAAAAAAAAAAAAAGGCAUUGGCAAGUCAAUUGAUAUUGCUGAAUUGUCGAUUUCAACUUUGGCAUGUGUAAUUCAGACAUUGCGCGUUGUGGUAUGGCGCUGGCACGCUUGCAUUGCCGAGAGGACAAAUCUUGGGGCUGGGCUAAAAUUUAGGCUUGUAGAACUCAUGGUGCUAAUGGGAACGCCAAAUUUUUUUAACAUAUUUCGGUGCUUUCAUGGUUUAAUUCAAGGUAUAGAAAGGAGUGUUGAGAAUGUCAAAUAAAACGACAUUGAAUGGAAGUUGUCAAAGACAUGAUCCGCACUGAACGGCAAUGACACGGUUGGUAAAGAUUUUUUCAUAAUAUGCGUAUCUAAUUUUUGAAAAAUUGUAACCUCUGCUUCUAUAAAUAUGCUCAAUGUAUAAUGUUUUACUUAAGAAAUGAAAAACUUAAUUCUUUAUGGUAUCAGAGCGAGGCUCGUUGCUCUGUUUGUAACAAAAACAAAGAAAACUAAAUUCUUCCCACAACUAUUUUUCCACCUUUUUUUCUUCCUUAAAAGCAUUCCUAGCAUUACAGAAACCCAUGCCAAUAAAAGAACAAGCCACACAUAUGUAAAAACUUUAGUUUACAAAUCUAUCAACAUCCCCAUAAAUUUUCCCAAAAAGUGAUCUUCAAAAACCAAAAAUACCAUCAAUUUUCGCAUCUUCUAGUAAACAAACUAUAAAAGUUUCGCACUCAAACAGAGCCACACGCGCCUCCACGCGCUUCCCGGAAUCACGGCCAACCACCACGCGCCUCUGUCACCACCAACUCACCCUCAUGCGCUCCAGAUGUUGCAGAAGACGCAAAACGACGUGUCGUUUUCUUCUCUAAAAGUGCAGCAACGUGGAAAUGACUUUUUGUUUUUGCCUUAAAUUGUUUUUCCUCGUUUGAAGCUAUACAACAUUUUUCUUUCUAAACCUGUUUUUUACAAUAAAAAAAGAAAAAAAUGGAGAAAACUCCAACUGAAUCUACUCAUGUUGUCAUUCAAUCUGUUCAACCUGAUGGAGUAUUUAAUGCCGAAAUUAUCCUUACUAAGACAAACUACGAUAUUUGAUCUCAAAUAAUGGAGAUGCAUCUCGCAGAAAGAAAAAAACUCCCAUAUAUUCGUAGCAGCAUAAAUCCAUCUGACAAAUUUUCAAAGAAAUAUGAGAAAUGGUAUAGUGAGAACCAAAAAGUAAAAAGAUGGUUACUCAUAACCAUGUGUCCUGAGAUCAUGAAGCGAUAGUUACAAAUUCCUACAGCCUACGAAAUUUAGAAUGCAUUAUCAAAAGCCUUUUAUAAUGGAAGCGAUGAAAUACAAGUUUUCACUCUAAAUCAGAAGGCGUUCUCUACGAAGCAAAAUGGACAACCACUCUCUAAAUUCUACGGAGAAUUGAUCAAAAUGUUUCAAGAACUUAAUCACCGAGAUAAAGUGGUCAUGAAGGAUCCAGAAGAUGUUAUAAUAUAUAGGAAGUUUGUUGGAAGAUUGAGAGUGCACAUUUUUCUUGCUGGACUAGAUGAAGAAUUUGACCAAGUUUGUGGAGAAAUUCUACGAAAAGAUACUAUCCUAGACUUAAAAGAAUGUUAUUCUCUAAUCCGAAAAGAAGAUGUACGGCAAAGCAAACUAACAAGAAGGUGGACGACUCAGAAACGUCUGCUAUGAUACCACAAGAGAACAAUGUUUUGAAAUUGUUCGAUAUCCUGACUGGUGGGAUACUCGAAGUAAUAACACAAAGCAGAGAUAAAAAACUGCAGUAGCUGAAUCCACAUCCACUACAGAUCUUAGAAAAGAAUCUUCAGCGCAAAUUGCAACCUCUGUCAAUUCAGGUAAGGUCAUUAAAACUCUUACAUUUGUUAUUAAUAGUAUAUGGAUAAUUGAUUAUGGUGCAACUGAUCAUAUGACUUUUGAUUCUUGACAAGUUUCUUAAUUGAAACCAUCUUCACAUAAACAUGUUUCUACUGUAAAUAGAACCACAACCUCAGUUAUUGGGGAAGGAUCUUUACAACUCACAAUUAAAUCAAAUUUAGACUUUGUGUUAAUUGUUCCAUCUUUAAAUUAUAAUCUUUUAUAUGUGUCUCAAAUAACCUCUUACUUAUCAUGUGUUGUAAUGUUUUGGCCCGAUCAUUGCAUGUUUAAGGACAUCCAAAUGAAGGAAACGAUUGGUUAUGAUAUUAAAUAAGGCAACUUGUAUUACCUGGAGAUGACAUCAACAAACACUGAAAAGCUAAGCCCCGCAUUAGUAGCAGACAAUUCCAUGAAAAAAAAGGAAAUAAGAAAUUUGGUUAUGGCAUAGACGAUUAGGGCAUGUGUCAUUUGAUUUCUUAAAAAAAUUGUUUCCUAGUUUGUUUCUGAAAUUUGAUAUUUGUAACUUUAAAUAUGAUGUUUGUGAACUUUCAAAUAGCCAUCGAACUACUUUUCCAUUGUCCUUAAAUAAGAAUCCAAUUCCUUUAAUGGUAGUACAUUCUGAUGUAUAGAGACCAUCUAAAGUUUCUACCAUUGGAAGAGCUCGUUGGUUUGUUACAUUUAUUGAUGAUUGUAGCAGAAUGACAUGGAUUUUUUUAUGAAAUUAAAAUCAUAUGAUGGUGACAACUCUAUUUCAGACACAAAUUUGAGUUCUACAUACUGAUAAUGGAGGCGAGUAUAUGAGCACAACAAUUCAACAGUUUUUGAAAUCACAAUGAACUCACCACCAAACCACUUGUGUGGGGACACUCCAACAAAAUGGCGUUGCUAAACAAAAAAAUAGACAUUUACUAGAAGUUGUUCAAGCAUCACUAAUUUAGGCCCGCAUGCCACUAUUUUAUUGGGGAGAAGCAUUGGCAUCCGUAGCAUACUUGAUCAAUCGGACACCUUCAAUCUUCCUUGGAUUCCAAACUUAUUUUCUAGUUCUAAAUGAAGAAUUAUGUCAUCAAAUGUGUCGAAUUUACCCCCACAUAUGUUUGGUUGUGUUGCCUUCGUUCAUUUGCCAUGACAAGAUAAAUUAUCUCCUCGAGCACUACGUUGUGUGUUUGUAGGGUAUGCCUUACAUCAAAAGGGGUACCGAUGCUAUCAUCCUCUAUUAAGAAAAAAUAUACAUCACCAUGGACAUAAUCUUUCAUGAAGAUAUCAUGUAGUACCCAUCGGAGCUUGAAUUUCAGAGGGAGUAUAAUGAAGAGGAAAUUCAUACUCUUACAUAUCUUUCACCUGAAGAAGAUCAAUCCUCCAUUGAGGUAGUAAACGUUCAAGAUACUGGAAAAGAAAACGACAAUGAUUCUCAGGCUGAGACAAGUGAAGACACAUUUAGGGAGCAAAAUAACUCAGACAUAACCACAAUCGAGAACGAGUCCAUGAAGAGCCACAUGAAGAAAUAUCUAACCAAUCAUCUGCAGAGGAUGAUCCUACCACAAAUCCCAGUCUAAUCAGAAGAAUACUUCCCCAGCAUCAAAAUAGAGGUAUCUCUAAACCCACAUAUAAGACUGACCUCUCUAGUAGAGUCAAAUACCCUAUGAGUCAUUUUGUAUCUAACCAUGGCUUAUCAAAAUCAAAUCAGUCAUUUGUGAAUCAAUUAUCUACUGUGUCUAUUCCUAACAGUGUGCAAUAAGCCUUAAAAUAUCGAAAGUGGAAAGGGCUAUGAAUGACGAAAUGAGAUCUCUUUAAAAAAAAUCAAACAUGGGAACUAAUUGAUCUUCCACCAGGAAAGAAACCAGUGGGUUGCCGAUGGAACUAGUUGAUCAUCCACCUCCAUUCUGACAAGCAAUGUUUAUCAGCAAUAACAAAUGACUGAAGCAUUUUAAUGAGGUUAGUAACGAAAAAGAGUUUAAUUAGAGAAUAUUAUAAGAGAAAUUCUAAUUUUUGAUUUUUAAUAAAUUAAAAUAUCUUAAAAUAUUAUUAGUUGGUGGUGGUUUCAUGUCAGAUUAAGACGUGACACCUUACUAAUGAGGUCGAGACAAUUAGCUUAAAUUAUUUCAAUGCAUUUGAAAUUUCCACUAAUGACUAUAAUUCUUUGUCCUAAUUACUAUGAUAAUUAAUAACAUACAAUUGAAAUAGUUAAUAUUAGCACUUGGCAAUAAAUAAUUAAAUUUCAUUAACACUAAAUAAUAAUUGAAUAUGGCUUUGUACAUCGAUGACGCCAGCAACAAGGGGACCGCGAUUAUCACUCUUUAAGUUGCUUUUAAAAUUGAUUUUAGUAGUGAUAUGAUUAUUGUAGUGUUUUUAUUUUUUAUAUUAAAAUUAAGUGAUUUGUUAUAAUAAACUUAGUUGAGUUUAAUGGUAUUACUACAUAAAUUGAAUAGUUAUCAAAUAUUUUAAUAUUUUUAUGGCAAGCGUUGACGUGGCAUUUAUUUGUUGUAUGAUGGAUUUUAAAAUUUAUAAAAUUAUUUGUUAUUAAAUUACCCCCAGAUGCUACAUCACCUGAAACUUAAUAAAGGUAUGAAGACAUGUGUGUGUGGACUGAAAUGAAGAAUAUGGAAAAGUUGAGAGCUGUUGUGCAGAUUGAGUUCAGUUGAUGGGGUCUAUUAGAUAUUGUCUGCUGACGUGGCAUGAAUUCGUUAUAAUCUGUUAUAACGAGUUCAGUAUAUCAGUAUACAAUAGAGCUGAUGGAUGGUGCCUGUUUUAGAGUCUUUUUUAUAUUCAUUUGUUCAUCAUUUUGCGCAAGAUCUGUUCCAUUGUGAUAUGUGUAAAGUCUUAUGUAAACCCACUUAUGAUUGGAUUAGUUCUUGAUUAAUAACAACGAGUAAAUUUUCCUUCAAGUGUGCUGGUCUGUGCCCCUGUUUUUUGUUCUGAUAUUGUUUCUUUGUUCUGGCAUUUCAUUUCGAUUGUGUUCUUGGUGUUUCUACUCAUCAAGAUUUAUGAGUCUUGUUGAGAUUAAAGACUUAAUAGUCUUAACAAGUGGUAUCAGAGCCUGGUGAAUCUCAGCCAUGUCUCUUUCGAAGCAUGAAAUUGAAAAAUUCACCAUUGGUGGUGAUUUCUCGCUUUCGAAAUUAAAAAUGAGGGCUCUCCUUGUGCAUUAGAGGCUUGAAUUUGCUCUGGAAAAAGAUAAUCUAGAGGCUGCUACAAGUUAUGUGACUGAUGAUAAGAAGAGACAAAUCCAAAACCGAGCUCGUAGCACUCUAGUUUUGAGUCUUGGUGACUCAAUCUUGAGAAAGAUUUCUGAAGAGAAGACAACCUUAGGGAUUUGGAACAAGGUAGAAGCUUUGUGUACAAAGAAGUCGCUAGCUCACAGACUAUUCUUGAAGAAAAAGUUAUACACAUUCUCGAUGAGAGAAGGAGUCACAAUUCAAGAUCACAUUGAUACCUUCAACAAGAUCAUUCUUGAUCUUGAAGGGGUGGAAAAUGUGACAAUAAGUGAUGAAGAUAAAGCCUUCUUCUUGUUGAGUUCCUUACCAAAGUCUUAUGAAGGCUUUGUAGAUACAAUGCUUUAUGGCAGAACAACAUUGACUCUUGAAGAUGUUAAAGCAUCUCUAAGUUCAAAAGAGAUUCAGAAGAACAAUGAGAUUGAAACAAAUAAUGGUGAUGGGCUGAUUGCCAGAUCAGAAAAGAAGAAAGAUCAGAAGAAUAAAAAUCAGGGAAAAUGACAUGGAAAGAAUUAAGAAAAUGCAGACAAGAAGAAAAAGAAGAGAAAAUGCUUCUACUGCCGGAAGGAAGGGCAUUACAUCAGGGAUUGUCUUAAAAAGAAAAAAAAAGAAAGUCAAGAGAAGUCAGGGGAUGCAGCUGUAGCCUCUGAUGAUGCCUCUGAUGGAUAUCACAUUGCUGAUUUACUUGUGGCCUCAAAUAGCAAUACUAAAGGUCAGUGGGUCAUAGACUCUGAGUGCUCUUUUCACUUGUGGCCUGAUAAAACCAUAUUUUACAAAUAUGAAGUUGUUGAUGGUGGUAGAGUCUUAAUGGGAAAUAAUAAUGUGUGUAAUCUUGUUGGUAUUGGUUCUGUGAAGAUCAAGAUGUUUGAUGGAACUGUAAGAGCUCUACAUGAGGUGAGGCAUGCUCCUAGGCUAAAGAGAAAUCUAAUCUCUUUAGGCAUGCUAGACAGCUUAGGGUAUUUCUUUAAAUCAGAAAGUGGUGGUUUAGAGAUAAGAAAGGGGACUGAGAUAGUGAUGAAGGGGGUUAAAGAAAAUGGCUUAUAUGUAUUGUAAGGCUCAUCAGUGCUUCUUCAAAAGGGAAUUUCUGCUCUUUUUGAGGAAGAUAUAACCAAGUUAUGACAUCUUAGACUUGGUCAUAUGAGUGUCAAAGGGAUGUAAGAGCUCAGCAAACAAGGGCUACUUGGUGGGGAUAGAAUCCAGCAACUGGAAUUAUGUGAAAAUUGCAUUUUUGGCAAAGCUCACAGGUCCAAGUUUCACAAGGGGGAGCAUAUGUCUAAGCAAGUUUUGGACUAUGCACAUGCUGACCUUUGGGGGCCUGCUCAAGUCCCAUCCUUGAGUGGUGGCAGGUAUUUCAUAUCACUAAUUGAUGAUUACUCAAGGAAGAUGUGGGUCUACAUACUCAAGACCAAAGAUCAAGCCUAGGAAAAAAUUCAAGGUAUAGAAAUCUUUGGUAGAAAAUCAAUUUGGAUUCAAGCUCAAAUGCUUGAGAACUGAUAAUGGUUUGGAAUUUUGUAGCAAAGAAUUUGAGGAAUAUUACAAAAAAACAUGGCAUAAAAAGGCACAAAACAGUCAGGUUCACCCCCCAGCAGAAUGGCUUGGCUGAAAGGAUGAACAUGACCUUGGUAGAUAAGACCAGAUGUAUGUUGAUAAAUUCAAAGCUUCCAAGAAGCUUUUGGGCAGAAGCUGUCAAUACAACAAGUUGUUUGGUUAACAGAAGCCCAUAUUCUGCAAUUGGCUUCAAAACACCAGAAGAAUUGUGGAAGGAAAAACCUGUAAAUUACCAAAAUCUCAGUGUUUUUGGAUGCCCUGCUUAUCUCCACAUCAAUCAAGGCAAGCUGGAAGCUAGGGCCUUGAAAGGAGUCUUUGUUGGAUAUCCUGAUGGGGUUAAGGGAUACAUAAUCUGGUGUAGAGAGUAAGGGAAGUGUAUAGUCAGCAGGGAUGUUGUGUUUCAUGAAUUUGGAUUGCUAAAAGAAAAUGCAGAGAAUGAUACUAGACUACAAAAUGAUUCAAUAAUUAUCAAACAAUCUGGAACUUCCAAGGUUAAGGUGGAGCUGUUUGGAAAUAAAGACAGUAGAAAAGAGGUAGCUGAUUAUGAAGAGAGGACCACAGCUAAAGUUGAGGAACAUGAGUCAUCAGAGUUGCCACAAGCUGACUUGCAGACUUAUCAGUUAGCAAGAGAUAGAGUUAGAAGAGAAGUCAAAGCACUAGUGAGGUAUGGCUAUGCUGACUUAAUUACUUAUGCAUUGUUGUGUGCUGAUGAUGUGGCAAUUGAAGAGCCUGCUAACUUCUCUGAAGUUAUUGAAAGUGUGCAUUGUGAUAAGUGGCUUGAGGCAAUGCAAGAUGAAAUGGGAUCCCUUCAAAGAAAUCAGACCUGGACACUUGUUCCAAAUCUAGGUAAUAAAAAGUUGAUCAGUUGUAAGUGGAUCUUCAAGAAGAAUGAAGGAAUUCCAGAUGUUGAACCUCCCAAAUAUAAAGCAAGGCUAGUGGCUAGGGGGUUUACACAGAGAAAGAGUGUAGAUUUCAAUGAAAAAUUUUCCCCUGUUCUUAAGCACAUUUCAAUAAGAAUUUUAUUAGUCAUGGUAGCCUUACUUGACUUGGAGCUUGAGCAAAUGGAUGUAAAAACAGCAUUCCUUCAUGGUAAUCUUGAAGAACAGAUAUUGAUGGCACAACCUAAAUGUUUUGAGUGCAAAGGAAAUGAGGAUUAUGUUUGUUUGCUGCAUAAGUCCUUGUAUGGACUCAAGCAAUCCCCACGACAGUGGUACAUAAGAUUUGAUGAUUUUAUGGUCUCAAAAGGCUAUCACAUAAGCAAAUAUGACAGUUGUGUUUACUUUGGUGGAUCAUAUCAAGGUGGAGUUGCUUAUUUGCUUCUGUAUGUUGAAGAUAUGUUAAUUGCAAGAAAAUAUAAGUUGGAGAUAGAGAGGUUGAAGAAAUGAAGGAUCUCGGCAAUGCCAAAAGAAUCCUUGGGAUGAACAUUACAAGGGGCAGAUCUGCUGACACUUUGUUCUUGAGUCAUGAGAAAUAUAUCAAGAAGGUUCUGGAGAGGUUUGAGAUGCAAGACUAUAAACCUGUCCAAACACCACUUGGUCCCCAAUUCAAGUUGACAGCAGCUCAAUCAUCAGAAGAUGAGUCUCAGGUGAGUGAAUUCCCAUAUGCACAGGUUGUAGGGAGCCUGAUGUAUGUAAUGGUAUGCACCAGGUCAGAUAUAGCUUAUGCAGUAAGUGUUGUCAGCAAAUUUCUCAGUUGUCUAGGCAAGGUUCACUGGAAUGUUGUAAAAUGGAUAAUGAGAUAUCUUAAGGGCUCUUUUACUUGUGGUUUGCUGUAUGGGAAGACUAAGAGUGACAUAAGUGAAGUCCUGGGGUUUGUAGACUCUGACUUUGCUGGAGAUCUUGAUAGAAUGAAGUCAACCUCAGGGUAUAUGUUUGUGUUAAACAGUUGCCUGAUUAGCUGGAAGUCAUCACUUCAGUCUGUGGUUGCUUUAUCCUCAACUGAAGCUGAGUUUGUUGCAACUACAGAGGCAGUAAAAGAGGCCAUGUGGCUAAGAGGUUUGCUUAAUGAGUUAUGGUUAAAUCAGAAAAUUGUUCAGGUUUUCUGUGAUAACCAAAGUGUCAUACACCUGGUAAAGAAUCAGAUGUAUCAUGAAAGAACCAAGCACAUUGAUGUGAAGCUCCAGUUUAUCAGAGAUGAGGUUGGAAAAGGAACUAUAAUUGUGUCCAAGAUCUAUACCAGUGUGAAUCCAACUGAUGUUAUUACAAAAGCACUUCCCACUGCAAAAUUUGAAUUCUAUGUGAAUCUAAUGGGCAUCUCGCCCAAACCUAACUAAAUUCAAUAGUGAAUUGUAGUUGAAUGAAGGUUUUUUAGGUGCUGUGUUAUUGAAAGGAUCAACUGAAUCAACUGCAAGGUGGAGAAUGUGAAGAUGUGUGUGUGGACUGAAAUGAAGAAUAUGAAAAAGUUGAGAGCUGUUGUGCAGAUUGACUUCAGUUGAUGGGGUCUAUUAGAUAUUGUCUGCUGACGUGGUAUGAAUUCGUUAUAAUCUGUUAUAACGAGUUCAAUAUAUCAGUAUAUAAUGGAGCUGAUGGAUGGUGCCUGUUUUAGAGUCUUUUUCGUAUUCAUUUGUUCAUCAUUUUGCACAAGAUUUGUUCCAUUGUGAUCUGUGUAAAGUCUUCUGUAAAUCCACUCAUGAUUGGAUUAGUUCUUGAUCAAUAACGAGUAAAUUUUCCUUCAAGUGUGCUGGUCUGUGCCCCUGUUUUUGGUUCUAAUAUUGUUUCUUUGUUUUGGCAUUUCAUUUCGAUUGUGUGCUUGGUGUUUCUACUCAUCAAGAUUUGUGAGUCUUGUUGAGAUUAAAGGCUUAAUAGUCUUAACAAAAGGGAAUGUAGCAUUGCCAUUAAUCAACAUUCACUCUUAUGACUUUAUGACAUUAGAAUUAAAAUCUUUCGUACAUUUAAUUUAUUUGCUUCCAAAUUAAUCUUUAAUAAAUAUUUUUUCACAUUAUCAUCAAUGGACAAAACUCCAACGAAAAUAACUACACGAGAACAAUUUAUGCUAGUAUUAAAUGCCACGAUAUCUAUAACUUUGUCUGGAUCGAUCAUUCUAAUUUUUUCGCAGAACUUUUUGUCAAUGGACAAACACCUCACAGAGCUUGUCAGCCGCAUUAUUACGAUGUAAAAUUGUACCGGAAUAUCUUGAAUUAUUAGUAGAAUAAUGAAGACUAUUUGGGGCAAUAAAAACAAAUAACGCAGAUAAAAAAAUGGCUAAAAUUAUGUAAGUGAGCCCCAAAGUUUUUGCUAUUUCCAGGAAAUCCCAAAUUUGAAUGGACUAGAGGGAGGCACGUAAGAAAUACAUUUUCUUCCUAGACAAUGACAGCUAUGACAUCAAGCCACGGUGGCGUCAGUAUUGAAAUUAAGGUGUAAUUAUUCAGCCAAUGAGCCUUACACAUCAAGAUAAAAGUCAAGAUAAUGAAAAUUUGGCUGUUUCCAUUUGAAGUUAAAAGCAACGUUUCUUUCGUUUUGUGGGCGACUCGACUGAGCACGCCCCAAUAGCUAUAUUUAGGGCGUCAAUUUGAUAUUUGAAUGGACAGGCAAGUAAGAAAUACAUUUCCUUCAUAGACAAUGACAACGAGGACAUCAAGCCACAUCAUUAUAGUUUGUAGCCCAUCUACAUUUAAACGAUUAAUAAACAAGCUUAGGUGUGCCACUGCUAUUAUUAAUUAUCCCCUGAUCAUUAUAGUUUCUGAAACAGUAAAACUAAACGAAAUUGAAUACAUCAACGAGACCGCAAUUAUCACUUGUUUAGUUGCGGUAUUUAACUUAAUUUUAAUAUAAUAUAUUUGUUAGUUAAACUUUUAAUAAUCAAAUAAUUUUGAUUUAAAAAUAAAAUUAUAGAAAUUAUUAAUUAUUAAUUAUUAAAAAUUCACAAUUAAGGGAACGUUCAUCAAACACACAUAGCUAUUGUUUUCUCUAUAUAUUGCAGUGUGUACGAUAUUGAGGGUUGAAGCCCCAAGCAUGCUCUAAAAUCCAGAUAAUAAUUAGAUCCGGGCCAAAUAUUCAUCAUUGUGUCAGCUGAUCAGUCGGUGGACAUCUCUAUUGAAAAUAUCUCUGACAUUUCACUCGACAAACUUAUUAAUAUAAAAAAUCUGUGGUUUUGCCGUCUGAAUAAUGUAGAAAAAUUUGUCUAUGCAUUAAUCUAGAUGUUUGAGGUGAUUUAUACAUCUGUGGUAAAGAUUUAUAGGUUGACUUAGACGUCUGUGGUAUAGAUUUUAUGUAUUUCAUUACAAAAUGCUGGCCGUUAGAACCCUUUCUACAUCUAUUUAUAAGAUUAACGGGUGCCAGCUAUGCCAUUACAAAUUAUCCCCUCAUCAGAUAUUUCGUUAAAAUUCAUUCUGAAACACUAAAACUAAAUAAUCGAAUAUGGCUUUGCGGGUCGAUGAUGCCAGCAGCAAUGAGACUGCAAUUAUCACUUGUUUAGUUUCUGUGCUGGCCGUGGUUUACUUCGCAUGGAAUGUGAAAAAAUCAAGGAAAGCAAAUGCUACACUGCCACCAGGACCUCGCGGCUUGCCUGUAUUCGGAUACCUCCCAUUUCUUGGAACUACUGACUUGCACAAGAAAUUCACGGAAUUAUCCGGAGUUUAUGGUCCGAUCUUCAAGCUUUGGCUUGGAAAUAAAUUAUGUGUAGUGGUGAGCUCACCUUCCCUAAUUAGACAAGUGGUUCGUGAUCAAGAUACAACAUUCGCGAACCGUGACCCACCGAAGGCUGCACUAGUGGUCUCCUAUGGUGGCAAUGAUAUUGCAUGGUCCAAUUACGGUCCCGAAUGGAGAAAGUUGCGCAAAUUUUUUGUGGGCAAGAUGAUGAAUAACGCAAGCCUUGAUGCUUGUUAUGCUCUAAGAAGACAAGAGGUUAAAAAUACUAUCAGGGAUUUGUAUAACAACGACAACAAAAUUGGCAAGCCCAUUGACAUUGGUGAAUUGUCGUUUUCAACAUUGGUAUGUGCUAUACAGAACAUGCUGUGGGGUGAAGCGCUUGAAUUAAAAGAGAAAGGGACCACUAAUCUUAGGGCUGGGCUAAAAUUUAAGCUGGCAGAACUCAUGGUGCUUGCGGGAACACCGAAUAUUUCGGAUGUCUUUCCAAUGCUUUCAUGGCUUGACAUACAAGGUAUAGAGAGGAGAGCAAAGAAGAUUUCACUCUGGCUUGAUAAUGUUAUAAAUUCUACUGUUGAACAGCAUAGAAACAAGGAGUUAACUGUUGAAGGUGAAGAAAGAGCGGGGAAAAAUUUUGAAGGAUCAAGGAACAAGAACUUCUUGCAGUUACUAUUGGAGCUUCAAGAAAAUGAUGACAGUGCUUCCUCAAUUAGCAUGAACCAAUUCAAGGCCGUACUCGCGGUAUGUUAAGCAACUAGCCACGAACAGUUAUACAAGCACAAUUGUAUAUUUGCAUGAGUGAUAUUUUCAACCUUUUUUUUUAAUUAGAAUUUUAUUGUCACCUUUUGGACAGGAUAUAAUUACGGCUGGAACCGACACCACAACUACGAUGGUGGAAUGGACAAUGGCAGAGUUGAUGCAGCAUCCACAAGUAAUGAAGAAAGUUCAGGAAGAAUUAGCUCAAGUUGUGGGCAUGGACAGUUGUGUUGAAGAAUUUCACCUGUCUAGAUUAAUGUAUUUAGAUGCUGUGGUGAAGGAAACAUUUCGUCUGCAUCCUGCAGUGCCUUUAUUACUACCACGUAGGGCAAGCGAGAGUGGCAACAUUGGUGGCUAUACCAUUCCCAAAGAUACAACUCUUAUGUUGAAUGUUUGGGCUAUCCACAGGGACCCUCACCUUUGGGAUAAUCCCUUAGAAUUUCGACCCGAGAGGUUUCUGAAUGUUGGUAUCGAGAGUAAGUUCGAUUACUCAGGUAACAAUUUUCAGUACUUGCCAUUUGGUUCUGGUAGAAGGAUGUGUGCUGGGAUUCCUCUAGCUGAGAGGAUGCUGAUGUUUGUUUUGGCUUCGUUAUUGCACUCAUUCGAGUGGGAAUUGCCAACUGGCACAAAGCUAAACUUAUCAGAAAAAUUUGGGAUUGUCAUUAAGAAAAAAGAGCCUUUGGUUGCUAUUCCAACACCAAGACUAUCCAAUUCAGAGCUCUACCAUUAAGACCAAAUGGUUGUGAUGAUUUUGUUAAUUUCCGAAGAUUUGUAUGUUAUUUCAAGUUCAAUCGUAGUAAAAUAUUUCAAAUAAGAGUCCUCCGUUGCUUUUUUUUUUUUUUUUCAACGGCAUAAUCUGUGGUCAUGCUUGUAUUUGGAGCCACUUUAGAAAAAUUAUGUUUGAAUUACAAUUUAUAAAUAUUACAUUUUAAAAUAUUAUGAGGCUAAAUUUAUACACGUUCAAUAACCCGCUUCAUAUAUAUUUAACACAAUUUAUAUCAUACAUUGUACACCCAUUUAUCAUAAAUUACACUAUUUUGUAUCUCUAAAUAAUAUUACGUAUUGAUAUUAUAAAAUAUAUAUGGAAAAGAGAACAAAGAAGAUUUCUUAUGGUUUGAAAAUAUUAUGAAUUCUGCUGUUGAACAGUAUGGAAACAAGGUCUCUGUUGUUAAAGGUGAAGAAGCAACAGGGAACAAUAUUGAAGGAAGAAAUUUCACAUGUUUAGUUGCUGAAUUUGCCGCUGUAUUCUAUCGGUAGUAAAAAAAUUAGAGUUUUUAUUUUUCUCUAUUAAUGUUAAGUCAAUUUUCUAUAACAAAUUCGGUUGAGUUUAAUUGUGUUACAAUAUAAAUUGAAUGAUAAUAGAAUUUUCAACGAAUAUUUCAAUAUUUCUAUCUCGAUUGUUGAAGUGCCAUUUAUUUGUUAUGCGAUCGAUUUUAAAAUUUAUAAAAAUUAUUUGUUACUAAAUUGCAUCAUAUGCUAAAAUCACCUGAAACCUAAUUCCAUAACUAACCCUUUAUUUUUAGUUCUCAAGAAAUCUUGUAAGAACAAAAUUCUUUUAUAACAAAACUUUUACAACACAUUAAUUUGUAACUCAUUCCUGUGCGAGAAUCACUCUCAAAUUCCUUCAAUUGCUGUUGAACAAUCAUCUGCUUAUCAAAAUUCAAGCAUAAUCUUUUCUUUUUUUUAAUUUCUUCAUCAUUCUUUUGAAAAAAAAAAAUCAGGAUAUGCUGUUAAAAUUUUGAAAUAAAUUAUCUCAAAAUAAUUACUAACCAGAAAAAACAAAGGGGUUUAACUAGGUUAUGCAUACCUUUGAAAAUUAUAUGUUGAUCGAUAAGAAUGAUGAUCACGAUUGAGGAGUUUAAUUAAAAUAUAUAAGAUUUUAAAAUUAAUCAGGGUUAAAUUGUGAAUUUUAGAAAGAGAGGUUUUGUGAGAAUGCUGAAAGGGUGUUAAUAGUUCCACUCUUUUUAAAAGCAACCAUAGUCAUCAUUUUUCCCGAUUUCUUCUUCCCAUCUCCAUCUUAUUUAGAAAUUUCCCAGAGCCUUUGUUUCCCACCUUUCAUUGUUCUUCUUUCUAAUUUAAUACUAUAGGAUUACAAAAAUAAUUACUCACAUUUUAUCAAACACCUCCAUUCUACCAAGGCCUUGUUUUAGUAGUAGGCUUUUAUUAUCUCAAUAAAAUUGAAAAAACAAAUCUCAAUAAUAUUGGAAAAAAAAAACCUACCCAUAUUUGUAACUUUAAUUUAUUAUUCUCCAUAGACCUACUUUUUAGCUUUGAAUUUUGUUGGAGCCAUAUAUAAACAGAAUAUGUUGAAUCAGCACCAAAAAAAAAAAAAAAAAACUAAUUAUAUAAUUUCUGUUCCCAAGGACAUGACUGAUUGAUUUUCAAGAAGUUUUGUUUGGCUGGCUACUUAGGUUUAAAUCUUGGUGGAGAUUAGGGGUUAAGAAAUAAAUUUGGACUUUGCACACCCCUUUAACUUUUAAAAAGAAAUGAAAAAAACUAAUUAAUUAAUCUUUAUUUUAUUUAUUAAAUAUCAUAAUCCUAUGCGUAUUUUAUUUGUUAUCUUUCUAUUUAAAAGACAGGAGGGCAGAUAAAACUGAAAUAAAUUUUUAGCCCUAUCUCCAUCUUUCAAGUUCCAUAGUUAGGUGACCAGGUAAAGAAAAUUAAUUGAAAGCUACUCCAUCAAAUUAAAAAAUUUUAUUUAUUUAAUUUGUGGAGAUGUAGAAAAUCAAACCCCAUGCCUUUUCGCGUGGAAAAGUGUCAACCUGGUCUAGCUAUGUUGCAAAAGUGAACAUAUUUUAAUACAUGACUAUCAUCCUUUAUCCUAAAUACUACUAUAACUAAUAACAUACAAUUGAAAUAAUUAAUGUUAACACUUGGCUAUAAAUAAAGGUUUUGUGCUUGAAUCUUCACGCAUGACCUUCAUUCCUUUAUUUACUUUGCUAACACAGAUUUUGAGGCAUUAAAACUAAAUAAUAAUUGACUUUGUGGGCCGAGGAUGCCAGCAACAAGGAGACCACAAUUAUCACUUGUUAAGUUACUCUAAUUGCCGUUGUCUUAUAUUCAUAGAAUAUUAGUAAUAAGAUUAUUGUAGAAUUUUUUUAUAUUAAAAUUAAGUCAAUUUGUUAUAACAAAUUUAGUUGAGUUUAAUCGUGUUACCACAUAAAUUGAAUAAUAAUAAAAUUCUCGACAAAUAUUUCAAUAUUUUUAUCCCAAGCGUUGGAGUGGCAUUUAUUUGUUAUACGAUCAAUUUUAGAAUUUAUAAAAUUAUUCGUUACUGAAUUGCACCAUAUGCUGCAUGACCUGAAACUUAAUAAACGGAACGUAGCGUUGGCACCGUUACUCAACAUACUGUUACGACUUUGUGACAUUAGAAUUAAAAUCUUUUGCACAUUUAAUUUGUUUACUUCCAAAUUAAUAUUUAACAAAAUAUUUUUUCACAUUAUCAAUGGACAAAACUCCAACGAAAAUAACUACACAAGAAAAAUGUAUGCUAGUAUUGUGUGCCAUAUCAUCUGUAAUUUUGUCAGGAUCGAUCAUUCUAAUUUUUAAGCAGAACUUUUUAUCAAUGGACAAACACCUCACACAGCUUGUCAGAGGCAUUAUUAUGAUGGAAAACUGUAAUGGUAUAUCUUGAAUUAUUGGUAGAAUAGUUCUUUGGAGCAAUAAAAACAGAUAAGACAGAUGAGAAAAUUGUCAAUACCCCACCGCAAAAGCAAAAGAAAAAAAGGAAAGGAGACAAAAGAGGAAGAAGAAAAAGAAAAAAGAACGAAGAAAAAAAUGGUGCCGCGCGGUAUAGGCAAGAAGAAAAAAUAAUAAUAAAAUAAUAAAAUAAUAGUGCACAACAGUCAUUUGAUUGCUAUAAAUAAAGGGGCAUUUCCCUCAUUUUAUUCAUCGAAUUCUUCAGUUCCUAAGCGAUUUAAGAGUCUAGUGAUUUGAGAGUUUGGGUAUAGUAUAGUUUUGAGUAGUGAGUUAAAAUAUUACAAUACUUAUAACUUAUUUUUACUAAUAAAAUAUUUUUCUUCUAUCUUCACCCGUGGACGUAGGGUCAAAGCCGAAUCACAUAAUUUUUAGUAUCCCUAUGUGAUUAUGUAUCUCAUUAUUUUUCAAUUUUACUUUAGUUACGUGUCUGCUACAUCCUUCAAUUUACUAACAAAAAUGGCCAAAAUUAUAUAAGUGACCCAAAUUUUUUUGCUAUUUCCAAGAAAUCUCCAAUCUGAAUGGGCCAGACCAGAGGGAGGCAAGUUAGAAAUACGUUUCCUUCAUAGACAAUAACAGCGAUGAGUCGAUGACAUCGAGCCACGUCGGUAUCAAUAUUGAAUUAAAGGUGCAAUUAUUCAGCCAAUGAGCCUUACACAUCAAGAUAAAAGUCAAGAAAAUGAAUAUUUAUCCUAAUUAAAACACUUUCUGGCUGCAUUUAGUUGUUUCCAUUUGAAGUUAAAAGCAACGUUUCUUUCGUUUUGUGGGCAACUCGACUCAGUUAGCUGGCUUCUAGUGCUAGUAAGUGAAAAUAGAAGGCUAAUGAUUUAUUUGUUAUCUUUUGAUAAAAUUAUUAAAGAUAUAAUAGAUUUUUCAUGAUACAAAUAAAAAAUCACAUCAACAUAGCUUCCAAAGUACAACAGCUAAUGUUUACCAAACACUUUGUUGUAGCUUUUAAGCUACAGCUGCCCAACUUUAAUUUCAAAUGCACCCUUAAUAGGUUGAUUGAAUUUGUGGGAUAUAGAUUCCACAUAUCGUAUGACCUAGUAACUAUACAAGUGGUUCGUGAUCAAGACACAACAUUUGCUUCCGGCCCGGUGACCCAGCAAUCGCUGCAUUGGUCGCCACCUAUGGUGCCAACGAUAUUGCAUGGUCCAAUUGUGGCCUUGAAUGGAAAAAGUUGAGCAAAUUAUUUGUGGACACGAUGAUAAGUAACGCAAGCCUUGAUGCUAGUUAUGGUCCAAGAAAACAAGAGAUAUGCAUAACAACAAAAAGGAAAAAAAAAAAAAAAAAAAAAAAGGCAUUUGCAAGCCCAUUGAUAUUGGUGAAUUGUCGAUUUCAACUUUGGCAUGUGUAAUCCAGAGCCUGCGCGCUGUGGUGUGGCGCUGGCACGCUUGCAUUGACGAGGGGACAAGUCUUGGGGCUGAGCUAACAUUUAAGCUCGCAGAACUCAUGGUGCUAAUGGGAACACCAAAUAUUUUUUGACAUAUUUUGGUGCUUUCAUGGUUUAAUUCAAGGUAUAGAAAGGAGUGUUGAGAAUGUCAAAUAAAACGGUAUUGAAUGGAAGUUGUUAAAGACACGAUCCGCACCGAACGACAACAGCACGGUUGCUAAAAAUCCUUCCGUAAUAGGCAUAUCUAAUUUUUGAAAAAGUGUAACCUCUACAUUUAUAAAUAUACUCAAUGUAUAAUGUUUUACUUAAGAAAUGAAAAACUUGUUUGUUCAAGGAGAAUAAAGAAAAAUUUUCUAUGAUUUUUCUAUGGUUUGAACAAAGAAGGUUUUAACGAGUAUUAUAGACCUCGAUUGAAUGUUCGAAUGUAUAAUAAAAGAGAAACUGUCACAUAAAUGACAAAGAUACUUGAAAAAAAAAAAAAAGGGCAGCAAUAGAGAAUUAGAUCCGACUGUACAAAUAACUAGUUAAUUCAUCGAUACAUCAUUUUCUUGCUAGAAAAUGACAAUUAUGACAGCAAGCCACGAUAGUGUCAAUAUUGAAAUUGAUUUGCAAUUAUUCAGCCUAUGAGCCUUACACGUCAAGAUAAAAGUCAAGAAAAUGAAAGUUAAUAUCAAUUAAAACACUUCCAUUUCUAUGUGAAGUUAAAAAACAACGUUUCUUUUGUUUUGUGGGGGAUUCAACUGAGCACGCGCCACUAGCUAGCUGGCUUCUAGUUCUAGCAUAUGAAAACAGAAUUCUAAAGAUUUCACUUUCACCUUUUUUCUUUUUUUGGGGUUUUGAAUCAAAGUCAAGGUCGCACUGAAUAAUAUGUAAAAUUUGAAAAAGAAGAAUUAAUAGAGAACAAAGUUUUGUUUUAAAUUCACAUGGUGUGCAUACAAUUCAACAAACACUUCCUAUAAUAAAUCUGGAGUUGUAUCCCACGUUGAACAAUAAAGGAAAGUCACCUAAAUAUACAUGUAGGAUAAGUUACUUUAUUUAGUAAGUUUGUAUUUUCUUCUUUCUUCUAGUUUACAUAUAAAUUUGAUUAGAUAACUUAACACAUAUUUUAAUACUUGAUCAGAAGCCCGACGUACAGGUGGAUCUAGAAACUUGAUUUCUAAGAGUAAUACUAUAAUAAAAAAAUAAUGAUUCAUAGAACCAAUAUCAAAAUUUGUUUACAAGAUUGCCCCCACUCAAAGGUAAUUUUCAUAGAAAUUAAUAGGAAAUUUAAUUGUUAGUGGGGUCAAAUUGCCCCCACACUCUGAAUGUAGAUCCACGCCCGACCCUGAGUCAAGUAUAUUUUGCCACAUAUACUCUGAAUGUCGGCAGGAAAAAUCUUCCACUUUAGUUAAAAAUUUUCACUUAAAAAAUAUUUAUGUUAAUAAAGUUCGUAAAGGAAAUGAGUUUAAUUAAUGAAUAUUAUAGGAGAAAUUAAAGGAAAUGAGUUUAAUUAAAGAAUAUUAUAGGAGAAAUUCUAUUGUUCGGCUUUUAAUAAAUUAAUUAAUAGGUUUAAAAGAUUAAUAUACAUCAAAAUAUUAUUAGUUGGUGGGGGUUCCACAUCGGACUAAUACGUGUCACCUUACUUGUGAGAUUAAGACAAUCGACUUAGACUAUUUAAAUAUGUUUGAAGCUUAGAUGGCACCGCUUCAAUUUGCAUUACUGAAUGUCAUUCUUUAUCCUAAUUACUACCGUAAUUGAUAACAUGCAAUUGAAGUAACUAAUAUUAGCACUUGGCUAUAAAUGAACUAAAGGCCGUGCAAUUGAAUCUUUACUUGAUCACUUCACUCCUUUAUUUUGCUAACACAGAUUUUGAGAUAUUAAAACGAAAUAAUAAUUGAAUCUGGCUUUGUGGGUCGAUGAUGCUAGCAAAAACGAGACCACAAUUAUCACUUGUUUAUUUGCUGUAUUUGACGUUGUUUCAUAUUGGUAGUAAUAGGGUCAGUUUUUAAUCUUUUUAUAUUAAAGUUAAGUCAAUUUGUUAUCAAAAAAAAAAAUUGGUUGAGUUUAAUUAUAUUGCUAUGUACAUUAAAUAAUUAUAAUAUUCUUGAGGGAAAAAGACACCUAGAACCUCAAGGUUUGGGGAAAUGGUCACAAAGACUCCUAAGUUUUAAAAAAGGAACACUAAGAUCUUUUUUUACCCAUAAUACCCUUUGACUAGAGUAAUUAAAAAAUUGACUUUAAAGGUUUUUAAAUAAUUCUAAUUUAAUAUAAAUCAUAUAAUCUAUCUAGUAAACUAAUAAUAUUAAAUUAUUUUUUAUAUUUAAAAUAAUGUUAAAUUUUAAAUUAUUAUAUUUAUAAAAUUAUAAAGAUUUUAAAUAAAUAUUUGGAUUGAAUAUAUUUUACAAUUAAAAGUCUUCCUAUUAAUAAUAUUAAAAUUUAAUUUUACAAAAUAUAUAUUCAAAAUAUUUUUAAUUUUAAUUUAUUUAUUUUAAUAUUAUGUUUCUACCUAUUAUUAAAAAUUACUUUAAUAUAAUAAAAUAGGUCUAAUAGAUUGAAAAAUAUGAAAAUAUUUUUAAAAUUUUAAAUUAUUUUGAAAUGUAUAUAUUAUUACAUUUAUUUCAAUGUCAUAUUUUCAUUUAUUAUAAAAUUUUGGGGUUAUUUUUUUGGGAAUUUAUAGAGUCAAAGAGCAUUAUAAUUUAAUCCAUGCACAAUAUCUAUAAUUAUAUCGGUUGUCGGCUGAUUUCGUGGAGGGGGCGGCAGUUCAAAAUUUUUACGUGCAUGUUGGAUGGACGUCUCUAUUAAAGGAGAGCCACCACUUGCAUGGUAAUUUUUUUAAAUAAAUAUAUACAUUUCAAAACAUUAUUUUCUUGUUGUAUAGUUAACAUGUCACCUUAGAUGUAUUUUAGAGCUUCUCCUAUUAAAGAUAAUCUCAUGCAGUGUUACAGAGUAUGGUAAUAUGGUAUAGAUGAGAGCAUCUGAUUAAAUGAAGCAGCUGGUAAUGCUUACGUGUGUGAGUUAGUUAUCCAGCUCAGCAGCAAAGCAAACGAAAUGAAUUGCAUGCAUAUUAGAUCCAACAAACUGGUAAACUCUAGAUUCUUCUUUCAUUUAGUAUAAAUACCAAGUUGUUAUCAUUUGCUAAAUAUAUAAUAAGAUGAUCAUUUUCAGAUCUUUCCUUUAUAAUUUUCUAUAACUUUCUCGUUAGUUUCUCUUGAACCAAACACUUUGUACGAACUCUUUCGUGCAGUGAUACUUCUCGUGAUCUAAUCAUUAGUAGAAUCUAUAAUUUCGCUACUGUAAUAAAAUCUGUCACUACCCUAUAUGAAUGUAGAUAUUUGACGCGAUUUGUAAUUGCUUCCGACAGGAAAACAGCAAUAGUUUUAUUGAAAUUUGUGGUAUAGAUUCCACGAAUCUUAUGACAGAAUACUGACCACUCCAACCCUAUCCGCAUUUACACGAUUAAUACACAAGCUUAGAUGUGACAAUGCAUUUGUCACUCAUUCAAAUUCAUCCUGAAACACUAUACACUAAAUAAUCGAAUAUGGCUUCGUGGGUCGAUGAUGCUAGCAGCAACGAGACUGCAAUUAUCACUUGUUUUGUUGCUGUACUUGUCGUGGUCUAUUUCGCAUGGAAUGUAAACAAAUCAAGUAAAGCAAAUGCUAAAUUGCCACCAGGACCUCGGGGCUUGCCAGUAGUCCGAUACCUCCCAUUUCUUGGAACUACUGACUUACACAAGACAUUCACGGAGUUAUCUGGAGUUUAUGGUCCGAUCUUCAAGAUUUGGCUUGGGAAUAAAUUGUGUGUAGUGGUGACCUCGCCUACCCUAGUUAAACAAGUGGUCCGUGAUCAAGAUAUAACAUUCUCAAACCGCGACCCACCGAUCGCUGGAACUGUGACCACCUACGGUGGCAAUGAUAUUGCACUUUCCAAUUACGGUCCCGAAUGGAAAAAGUUGCGAAAAUUAUUUGUGAGCAAGAUGAUGAGUAAUGAGACCCUUGAUGCUUGUUAUGCUCUAAGAAAACAAGAGGUUAAAAAUACUAUCAGGGAUUUGUAUAACAACAAUAAGGAUAAUAUUGGCAAUGGCAAUGGCAAGCCCAUUGACGUUGGUGAAUUGUCGAUUUCAACUUUGGUACGUGUUAUGCAGAACAUGCUGUGGGGUCAAGCAUUGGAAACAAGAGAGAAAGAGAUUACUAAUCUCGGGGCUAAUCUUGCAGAACUCAUGGUGCUACUGGGAACACCAAAUAUUUCGGAUAUUUUUCCAGUGCUUUCAUGGCUUGACAUGCAAGGUAUAGAGAGAAGAGCUAAGAAGAUUUCUCUAUGGUUUGAAAAUAUUAUCAAUUCUGGUGUUGAACAGUAUAGAAACAAGUUCUCUGUUGUUAAAGGUGAAGAAGCUGCAGCACGAAAAAAUAUUGAACGAUCAAGAAAUAAGGACUUCUUGCAGUUGCUGUUGGAGCUUCAGGAAAAUGAAGAUAGUGCUUCAUCUAUUAGCAUGAACCAACUAAAGGCCGUGCUCGUGGUAUGUUAAGCAACUAGACACAAAAAGUUGUAAAAGCACAGCGAUAUAUUUGCGCGAGGCCCCGAGUGAUGUUUUGCCUCGAGAACUCUCAAUUUUAUCUUACGGUAAAAAAUGUUUUUCAACUUUUUUUUUUAAUUAGAAUUUUAUUGCAAUUUAUUUAACAGGACAUAAUUGUGGCCGGAACCGACACCACAACUACGAUGGUGGAAUGGACAAUGGCAGAGUUGAUGCAACAUCCACAAGUAAUGAAGAAAGUUCAAGAAGAAUUCGCUCAAGCUGUGGGCAUGGACAGUUGUGUUGAAGAAUAUCACUUGCCUAAAUUAAAGUAUUUAGAUGCUGUGGUGAAAGAAACAUUUCGUUUGCAUCCUGCGUUGCCCUUAUUGGUACCUCGCACGGCAAGCAAGAAUAGCAACAUUGGUGGCUAUACCAUUCCCAACGACACUAAUCUUAUGUUGAAUGUUUGGGCUAUCCACAGGGACCCUCAACUUUGGGAUAAUCCCUUAGAAUUUCGACCUGAGAGGUUCUUGAAUGAUGGUAUCAUAAGCAAUUUCAAUUACUCGGGUAACAAUUUUCAGUACUUGCCAUUUGGUUCUGGUAGAAGGAUGUGCGCUGGGAUUGCUCUAGCUGAGAGGAUGUUGAUGCUUGUUCUGGCUUCGUUGUUGCACUUGUUUGAGUGGAAAUUGCCCUCGGGCACAAAGCUAGACUUAUCUGAAAAGUAUGGGAUUGUCAUGCGGAAAAAAGAGCCUCUAAUUGCUAUUCCAACACCAAGGCUACCAAAUUCAGAUCUCUACCAGUAAGAUCAAAAUGGUUUUGAUAAUAUUAUUUCCCAUUGUAUUGGAUUUGAAGUUCAAUCAUAAUAAAAUAUUUUAAUAAAAUGUCCUCGGUUGCUAAUUUUUCAAUAGUAUAAUCUGCACCUGUCUUUUAUAGCAAUUUGGUCUAAUUUAUUUUUGAAUUAAAAUCCAUAAAUAUUUAUAUUUUUUUAAUUAUAUUAGGAAUUAUGUGGGGUGUAUGGUCUGAUCUUCGAGCUAUGCCUUGAAAACAAAUUAUGCAUAGUCGUGCACACGCUUUCCCUAAUUAAGUUUGUGGUUCGUGCUCAAGGCACAGCAUUCACCCCCCGCGACCCAACAAUCGCUACAUUGUUCCCCACCUAAAGUGCCAACAUAUUGCAUAAGUAACGCAAAAUAUGGUCCCCAAUGGAAAACGUUGCGCAAAUUAUUUCUGGGCAAGAUGAUAAGUAACGCAAGCCUUGAUGCUUGUUAUGGUCUAAGAAAACAAGAGGUUAAAAAUACUAUCAGAGACAUAUAUAAAACAACAACAGAAAAAAUUGGCAUUAUCAUCGAUAAUGGUGAGUUGUGGAUUUCAACUUUGGUAUGUUUAAUUCAGAACCCGCAGUGGGGUGGCGCUAGCACGCCUGCGUUAGGAGACGAGGGGACCAAUCUUGGGGCCGAGCUAAAAUAUAGGCUUGUAGAGCUCAUGCUGCUAAUGGUAAUGGGAACACCUACUAUUUCGGAUACUUUUCCGAUGCUGGUUUAAUUCAUGGUUUAGAAAGGAGAACAAAGAAGAUUUUUCGAUGCUUUGAAAAUAUUAUAAUUUUUAUAAAAUCUCUUAUUGAUAACUAAACAACUAAAAUUUCUGUAAAGUUUUUGUGGACUUUUGAUCUCCUAUGGUGCCAAUAUUUUCGACUAAUUUUUUCCUUCAAUUAAUGAUGUUGGUUGAGAAAGACUAUUUUUCUUGCAAUAAUAUAGUAUUCGUGGUCCUAUUAGGGUUCCGAAUGGAGAAAGUUGCACUAAGUUUUUUGAGUACCAAAUGAUGAGUAAUGUACGUAAGCCUUGAUGGUAGUUAUGGUCUAAGAAAACAAGAGGUUAAAAAUACUAUCUGGGAUUUGUACAACAAUAACAAAAUUGGCAAGCCCAUUGACAUUGGUGAAUUGUCAGUUUCAACCUUGGUAAGUGUUUUCAGAACAUGCUGUGGGGUGAAGCGCUUGGAAUAAGAAAGAAACGGAUGACGAAUAUUGGGGCUGAGCUUAGAUUUAAACUUGCAGAACUCAUGGUGCUGUCAGGAACACCGAAUAUUUCGGAUAUCUUUCCAGUGCUUUCAUGGUUUGAUAUACAAGGUUUUGAGAGAAUAGCAAAGAAGAUUUCUCUAUGGUUUUAAAAUAUUAUCAAUUCUACUGUUGAACGCUAUAGAAACAAGGUCUCAGUUGUUAAAAGUGAAGAAGAAGACGCAGCAGCAGCAGCAGCAGGGAACAACAUUGAAGGAAGGAAUAAGGACCUGGUGCAGUUACUCUUGGAGCUUCAAGGUAAAGAAGAAAAUGCUUCAUCAAUUAACAUGACGCAAUUUAAGAGCUUGCUCGUGGUAUGUUUGCGCAACUAGCCACAGACAGUUACAGAAACUGAGUUUGGCAGAUUACGACCGUUUCUGGUGAUUAUAUAACUAUUUGUGGCUGUUUUUUGUUUUUUUUUUCUUUUAAUUGGAAUUUUAUUGUAAAUUUCUUAACAGGAUAUAAUUUAGGGUGGAACCAACACCACAACUAUAAUGGUGGAAUGGACAAUGGCAUAAUUGAUACAGCAUCCACAAGUAAUGGAGAAUGUAAAGGUAGAACUAAGUCGGGCCGUGGCCAUUGACAGCCAUGUUGAAGAAUUUCACCUACCUAAGUUAAAAUAUUUAGAUGUUGUGGUGAAAGAAACAUUCCGCACGAUAAUAUAAUAUAUGAAUCAUAUAUCCUCUAUUGGUUUUUUGCUCCUUUUUUUUUCAAUAGCUUAAUCUAUCAUUAAAAUCUUCUGAAAUUCUAAAUUAAUAUACAUUCAACCUAGAGUUCAACCCAAAGUUUUAUUGAGCAUUAAAAAAAAAAAUUCUACGACUAAAAAUUUUACAGAGUAUAAAUUAAAAAUUAUGCGCCUACUAACAGACAAAAAACAAUUGAUACACAUUCACCAAUCAAAGGCAAACAAGAGAUUAUUAACAAUAACUUAAUAAUAAAAUUAUAAGGAAUCAAAUAGAAAUGGUACCUAGAAACACAUCACGCCAUUUAAUCAAUCACUUACCCAUAAAAUCCAAACUUAUAAACUAUUAAGGGGGGGAAAUGGAUACCUUUGGGUUUCAUUAAAUCAAAAUUACAACACCAUUAAAUACUCAAAAAUGAAAAAAAAAAAAUCAUACCCAAUAAAAGAGAAAAAAAUAACCCACAAAAAAAAUCAUCAAGAAAAUAAAUUUGAGACUAAGAGAAGAUAUUAAUUAACGCCUGGGUUGCAUUGGAACCACGGCUUUGGCUUCCAUUUUUCAAUUCUUGGUCACAAGUGAUUUCUUGUUUGUUUGCAAUGAUGACGGUUGAUUAAUGAAGCUCUAUUAACAAUGAAUGAAUCAAAAAACUUGAGCCUUGAAAAGACUAACGGUCAUAUUUUUCAACUCCGAAUUAGUGGCGUUUGAUGAGUCCUUGCCAAAACAAUCACUCGGCAGAUAACGAUCAUUUUUCAACCAGCAAAACUCAUUCAUUGUUUUUCACCUUAGUGAAGAUUUAAAAAUUGUUUCAAAAUAGGAUUCUUAAAAAAAUAAUAAUAAAAUGAUAUUUAACUUAAUUCUAACUUAGGAAAACAAAAUAUCUACACUCCCAAAGUUUGGAGAAAUGGUCAUUAAUAUCCCCAACUUUCCAAAAAGAGACACCAAGAACCCUUUUAACCAUAAUACUAUUUACUUCUAUUAUCCCAAAAAACAAUUGACUCUAAUAUUUUAUAAUAAAUAAAAAUAUAACAUUAAAAUAAAUGUAAUAGUAUAUACAUUUUAAAAUAGUUUCAAUAUUUAAAAAGCAUUUUAAUAUUUUUAAAUUCUAUUUUAUAUAUAUUGAUUAUUUUAAAGUAAAUUUUAUAAUAAAUAGAAUCAUAAUAUUAAAAUAAAUGCAUUAAAAUUUAAAUUAUUUUGAAUAUUAUGUAAAAUAAUAAUUUUAACAUUAUUAGUAUAUGAGAAUUUUUUUAAUUGUAGAAUGCAUUUAAUGCAAAUAUUUAUUUAAAAUCUCUACAAUAAAUAAAAAUAUACUAUUAAAACAAAACUCUACAAUACAUACAUACAUACAUAUACAUUGGCCUGGUAUUUUUAUUUUUCAUUUUUAAACUUAUUAAAUCCUCUAACUAUCAUUUGAUUUUUUUUUUUUUUCAAUGAUCAAGAGGUCAUUGCCGGAUAAAUGAUUAAAAUCAACUAGUUCUACAAGAAUAUCUCUUUUUAAAGGAAGAUGAUUCUCUCUCUCGAAAUUUUUUUAUCUCGUGCUACAAACUAAAAACUUAUGCCACUUCAUUAACCACAAAGAUCUUUGAGGAAAUGAUGCUUCCCUCCCCCCCCCCCCCCCCCCCCCUCCCACAAAAAAAAAAAAGAGUCCUUCCAUAUUGUGUGAAGGCUAAUAUAUCGAUGAAUCUAGAUUUCUUUAAAUUUUUUGUUUUACUCAAUUCGAGAUAAUAAUUCAAUCCAUGCAAAUAUCUAUCAUUGUAUGAGCUGACCAGUUAAUAGGUUGAUUGAAUAUAUGUGGUAAAGAUUCCACGUAUCUCAUGACAGAAUGCUGACCACUGGAACCCUAUCUACUUUUACGCGAUUAAUUCACGAGCUUAGGCACAACAAUUGCAAUACAAAUUAUCCCCUCAUCGUAUAUUUCGUUAAAAUUCAUUCUGAAGCAGUAAAACUAAACAAUCGAAUAUGGCUUUGCGGGUCGAUGAUGCCAGCAGCAAUGAGAGUGCAAUUAUCACUUGUUUAGUUUCUGUGCUUGCCGUGGCUUAUUUCGCAUGGAAUGUGAAAAAAUCAAGGAAAGCAAAUGCUAAACUGCCACCAGGAACUCGCGGCUUGCCUGUAGUCGGAUACCUCCCAUUUCUCGGGACUACUGACUUGCACAAGAAAUUCACGGAAUUUAUUUUACUAUUAUAUUUAUAUUCAAAAUAAUUUUAAUUAGCUUUUAAAAUGAAUGAUUUUAGGAAAUUAUAAAUAAAGGUAACUAAGAAUUCUCUUAAUGCAAUAUAUUAUUAAUUAGUUUAAAAAUACAAAUUUAUUAAUUAGAGAAAUUAUUAGUGAAUUUAAAUUAAUGAUCUUAAUGAUUUGUUUGUACGAUUGCCCCCAAUCAAAGGUAAUUUUCCUAAAAAUUAUUAGGAAAUUAGAGAAAUUUAAUUUUUUUUAGUGGGUUCAAUUGCCCACACACCCCGACUGAAGCAUUUUUUACAAUAUGUACUCCGUUUGUCGGCAGGAAAAUAAAGGUCUUGACACAUGAUCACUUCAUUCCUUUAUUUACUUUGCGAACGCAGAUUUUGAGGUAUUAAAACAAAUAAUAAUUGAAUAUGACUUUGUGGGUCGACGACGCCAGCAACGAGGAGACCGCCAAUUAUCACAUUUUAAGUUUGCUGUAAUUGCCAUUGUUUUAUAUUAGUAGAAUAUUAGUGAUAAGAUAAUUGUAGAGUUUUCAUUUUUUUAAUAUUAAAAUCAAGUCAAUUUAUUAUAAUAAAUUUAGUUGAAUUUAAUCGUAUUACCACAUAAAUUGAAUAAUAAUAGAAUUCUCCACAAAUAUUUCAAUAUUUUAAUCUCAAGCAUUGGAGUGGCAUUUAUUUGUUAUGCGGUCGAUUUUAGAAUUUUUAAAAUUAUUCGUUACUGAAUUGCACCAUAUGCUGCAUCACCUGGAACUUACUAAACGGAACGUAGCGUUGGCACCGUUACCAACAUUCACUGUUACGACUUUGUGACAUUAGAAUUAAAAUCUUUUCCACAUCUAAUUUGUUUACUUCCAAAUUAAUAUUUAACAAAAUAUUUUUUCACAUUAUCAAUGGACAAAACUCCAACGAAAAUAACUAUACAAGAAAAAUGUAUGCUAGAAUUGUAUGCCAUAUCAUCUGUAAUUUUGUCAGGAUCGAUCAUUCUAAUUUUGAAGCAGAACUUUUUAUCAAUGGACAAACACCUCACACAGCUUGUCAGAGGCAUUAUUAUGAUGUAAGAUUGUAAUGGUAUAUCUUGAAUUAUUGGUAGAAUAGUGAAUAACUAUUUGGAGCAAUAAAAACAAAUAAGACAGAUGAGAAAAUGGCUAAAAUUAUAUAAGUGACCCAAAUUGUUUUGCUAUUUCCAAGAAAUCCCCAAUCUGAAUGGACCAGCCAGAGGGAGGCAAGUUAGAAAUAUGUUUCCUUCAUAGACAAUAACAACGAUGAGUCGAUGACAUCAAGCCACGUCGGUAUCAAUAUUGAAAUAAAGGUGCAAUUAUUCAGCCAAUGAGCCUUACACAUCGAGAUAAAAGUCAAGAAAAUGAAAAUUUAUCCCAAUUAAAACACUUUCUGGCUGCAUUUAGCUGUUUCCAUUUGAAGUUAAAAACAACGUUUCUUUCGUUUUGUGGGCGACUCGACUGAGCUAGCUGGCUUCUAGUGCUGGUAAGUGAAAAUAGAAGGCUAAUGAUUUCACUUUCACAUUUUUCUUUUCCUUUUUUGGGAAUCAAAGUCAAGGUCAAGAAGAAUAAAUGGAGAAUUCGGAAAAAUGGGUGCAUAAUGUGAUCCAUUCAUGAAGAAGAGUACGUGAGCGUCGGGCAACAGUAUUUUUACCUAUUAAGCUCCAGUUUAAUUUUGUUGUAGGAAAACAAAAUUUUGUUUUCAAUUCACAUCGUGUGCAUCCAAUUCAACAAACACUUUGUAAUAAUUAAUGUUGAGUUGUAUCCUACGUUAAGGAGAGUUACUUAAAUUUAUAAAUAGGAUAAAUUACUCUAUUUAAUAAGUUAAUGUUUUCUUCUUUCUUCUAGAUUACAUAUAAAUUUAGUCAGAUAACCUAACACAUAUUUUAAUACUCGAUCAGAAGCCCUAAGCAGUGGUGGAUCCAAUAAAUUGAUUUAUAUGGUGUAAUAAUGUAAUAAAAAAAUGGUGAUUCAUAAAAUUGACCCAAUAUCAAAAUUUGUUUGCAAGAUUACUCCCCACUCAAAGGUAAUUUUCCUAAAAAUUAAUAGGAAAUUUAAUUGUCAUUGGGAUCAAAUUGCCCCCACACUCUUGAAUGUAGAUCCUCCCCUGGCCUUGAGUCAAGUAUUUUUUCCAAUAUAUACUCCGAAUGUCGGCAGGAACAACCUUCCACUUUAAUUUAAAAUUUUUACUUGAAAAAUUAAUUAAUGUUAAUAAAGUUCGUAAGAGAAAUGAGUUUAAUAAAAGAAAAUUAUAGGAGAAAUUCUAAUGUUUGUCUUUUAAUAAAUUAGUUUAUAAGUUUAAAAAGUUAACAUAUAUCAAAAUAUUAUUGAUUGGUGGUGGUUUCACGUCAGAUUAAGACGUGACACUUUACUUGUGAGACUGAGACAAUCAGCUUAGACUACUUCAAUAGGUUUGAAGCGUAGGCGGCACCCAUUCAAUUUGCACCAAUGUCUAUCAUUCUUUGUCCUAAUUACUACGAUAAUUAAUAACAUGCAAUUGAAAUUAUUAAUGUUAGUACUUGCCUAUAAAUAAAGGUAUUGUACUUGAAUCUUCAUAGAUGAUCACUUCAUUCCUUUAUUUACUUUGGUAACACAGAUUUUGAGAGACAUUAAAACUAAAGAAUAAUUGAAUAUGGCUUUGUGGGUUGAUGAUGCCAGCUCCAACGUGAGUGCAAUUAUCGCAUGUUUAAUUGCUCUAUUAGCCGUGGUCUAUUUCGUGUGGACAAGGAAAACAAAUGCUAAACUUCCACCAGGACCUCGCGGCUUGCCUGUAAUCGGAUACCUCCCUUUUCUCGGAACUACUGACUUGCACAAGACAUUCACGGAAUUAGCUGGUGUGUAUGGUCCAAUCUUCAAGCUCUGGCUUGGCAACAAAUUGUGUGUAGUGGUGAGCUCGCCUUCCCUAGUUAAACAAGUGGUUCGUGAUCAAGAUAUAACAUUCGCUAACCGCGACCCACCGAUCGCUGGACUCGUGGCCUCCUUUGGUGGCAAUGAUAUUUUAUUUUCCAAUUAUGGUCCUGAAUGGAGAAAGUUGCGCAAAUUAUUUGUGGGCAAGUUGAUGAGUAACGCAAGUCUUGACGCUUGUUAUGCUCUAAGAAAACAAGAGGUUAAAAAUAUAAUCAGGGAUUUGUAUAAUAACAACAAAACUGGCAAGCCCAUAGAUGUUGGUGAGUUGUCGAUCUCAACUUUUGUAUGUGUUAUACAGAACAUGCUAUGGGGUGAAGCUCUUGAAUUAAGAGAGAAAGGGAUCAGUAACCUUGGGGCUGAGCUAAAGUUUAAGCUAGCAGAACUCGUGGUGCUAAUGGGAACACCGAAUAUUUCGGAUAUCAUUCCGUGCUUUCAUGGCUUGAUAUACAAGGUAUAGAGAAGAGAACAAAGAAGAUUUCUCUAUGGUUUGCACAAGCACAGCUGUAUUAGUUAUGUGUUUUAACUUUAUUUUAAUUAGACUUUUAUUGUUAUCGUUUUAACAGGACAUAAUUUCUGGUGGAAACGACACAACAACUACAACGGUGGAAUGGACAAUGACAGAGUUGAUGCACAAUCCACGAGUAAUGAAGAAGGUUCAAGAGGAAUUAGCUCAAGUUGUGGCCAUGGACAGCUGUGUUGAAGAAUUUCACUUGCCCAAAUUAAAGUACUUAGAUGCUGUGGUGAAAGAAACAUUUCGGCUGCAUUCUGUGCCCUAUUUAGUACCACGUAGGGCAAGCCAAAGUAGCAGCAUUGGUGGCUAUACUGUUCCUAAAGAUACAACGAUUAUAUUGAAUGUUUGGGCAAUCCACAGAGAUCCUCAAAUUUGGGAUAACCCCUUAGAAUUUGGACCAGAGAAGUUUUUGAAUGAUGGUAUUGCGAGCAAAUUUGAUUACUCGGGUAACAAUUUUCAGUACUUGCCGUUUGGUUCUGGCAGAAGGAUGUGUGCAGGGAUUGCUCUGGCAGAGAGGAUGCUGAUGUUUGUUCUGGCUUCACUGCUGCACUCAUUUGAUUGGAAAUUACAGGCAGGCACAAAGCUAGACUUAUCUGAAAAGUUUGGGAUUUUGAUUAAGAAAAAGGAGCCUUAGGUUGCUAUUCCAACACCAAGACUACCCAAUUCAGAGCUCUACCAAUAAGACAAAUGGUUGUGAUGGUAUUGUAUCCCCACUGUAUUGGAAGAUUUGUAUGUUAUUUCAAGUUCAAUCAUAAUAAGCAUAUUAAUAAAUGUCUUCAGGUUGUUAUUUUUUCGCUGGCCCAAUCGAUCAUCAUACUCGUGUUUUCGAGCUAUUUAUUUAUUUUUGAAUUGCAAUCUGAAAUAUAUGUACUUUAAAUUUCUUACAAGAUUUUAAAUUUAUAUACAUCUACAACCCAAAAUCUCCCAAAAAAUCUAAAAUUCAAAAAUUUACAAAGCAUAGACCAAAAUUUUUAUACCAACUAAUUUUUUGAUCAAUUCUACACUUUCUAAAAGGAGAGACGUUUACUCCAAUAUUUGGACUACAAUUAUAUCUAAGCUUAGGUGCCAAAUAAUAAAUUUAUAAGUAAAUUGGAUUUUGAACAUGGAGAGAGUUCUAAAACAACUUGCUUAAAGCAAAUGAACUGUCCAAUUAAUUCAAUUUUUCAAAAACAAAUCUUUAAACAUUCAACGGACAUUUUCACAAGCUUCUGGAAGGCACAAUCUAAAACCCAACAAAGAAUUCAAAAAAUCUUUGAACUUCUCACAAGCUUCUUGGAGAGAUGCGACGGCGCUGCUUUGGUAACUCAGAAGGCUCAGAGAUCUUUGAGGAAAUCAUGGUUCGCUUUCUUUUUUAUCUUUCCUCCUAAUCCUUGCAAAUUGUGUGAAGGCCAAUAAAUCCAUGAAUCUAAAUCUCUGUAAAUUUCUUUUUUCCCAAAUUUAGAUAAUUAUUUACUCCAUGCACAAUAUAUAUCACUGUAUCAGCUGUUCUUUUUUUUUUUUUUUGGAUGGGGCGGCAGUUUAGAAGAGCUGGAGGGUGUUCUUGACAGAGCUCAAAUUUUUUGUGUGCUCGUUGGGUGGAUAUAUCAAUCAAAGAUAUCCCAUACAGUGACAUCUGUCGUGAUCAAAUUAUUAGUUGAUCAAUGAUUUCGACAUCUGUUUACUGUAAUAAAAUUUGUCACUAUACAUUGAUGAAAGUGUUUGAUGUGAUUUUCUAACUGCUACCGACGGGAAACAGUUAAUAGGUUGAUUGAAUUUGUGGGAUAUAGAUUCCACAUAUCGCAUGACAGGAUCCUGACCACUCGAAUCUUAUCUACAUUUACACGAUUAAUACACCAGCUUAGCUGUGACAGUGCCAUUACAAAUUAUCCUCUCAUCAUUUGUCUUGUUAAAAUUCAUUCUGAAACACUGAGACUAAAUAUACGAAAAUGGCUUUGUGGGUCGAUGAUGCGAGCCGGAAAGAGACUGUAAUUAUCACUUGUUUAGUUGCUGUACUCGCCGUGGUCUAUUUCGCAUGGAAUGUGAACAAAUCAAGUAAAGCAAAUGCUAAACUGCCGCCGGGACCUCGUGGUUUGCCUGUAGUCGGAUACCUCGCAUUUCUCGGAACUACUGACUUGCACAAGACAUUCACCGAUUUAUCUGGAGUCUAUGGUCCGAUCUUCAAGCUCUGCUUUGGAAACAAACUGUGUGUAGUGGUGAGCUCGCCUUCCCUAGUUAAACAAGUGGUCCAUGAUCAAGAUCUAACAUUCUCUAACCGCAGCCCAUCGAUCGCUGGACUUGUUACCAC